rnacentral:lncRNA from 1 species
UUUUUUUUUUUUUUUGACAUAACAAGAAGAAAGUCCUGGAAAAGUCAAUGUUAAAACCUAUUGAGCCUUUCACAGGAAGCACUUUUAAUAACCAUAUAUAAACAAAACUUUAUAAAAAUAAUCCAUAUAUAAACAAAACUUUAUCAAAAUAAGUAGGAUAUAGCCAACGUUUUAUACUAUUGUCAAUUAGUACAUAAGAAAAUUUUGAACAAUUUGAAAUUGAUCAAAACUUUUUUCGUAGUUAAUUAUCUUUGUAAUGAUCUAAAUUUUUCAAGGUAAUUCUGAAACAAUGAUAGUGUUUAAAAGAGCUCCCAAAUAAUGAAACCUUUGAUACGAUGCAUUCAGUGACUGCAUCUUUUAAACAACGCAUUUAGUAAACAUGUUUUCUAAGAAAAAAGACUGAGUUAAUCUUAUAUACACUGAUAGUGUAUACACUAUCAUAAUGGAUACAUGACAUAUAUGCAAAAUUUAGAAGAGAUUUGAAUAACAAUGCUCCUUUGGAAUUGAUUUUGCAAAAAGUCUUACCUUUUAAUUUACUUGAAUUUUCGUACCCCUUAUACAAUUUAUGCAAUGUGUCUAACUAUUUAUGGCAAUCCAUUACUAACUUUUGAUAUAAUGCAUUCAGUGAGUAAAAAUAUGUAGACAAAUAAAAGAAUACAUUUUGUUAAUGCAGUUUUUAUGGAAACAUGUUCACUAAAUGCGUUUUUUACCCUUUCGGAAGAUAUUUGAAUAACACUACUUCUUUAGAAUUGAUUUCGAAAAACUUACCUUUUGAAAUUUUACUCAAAAUUUUUUGUACCCAUUAGACAAUUCACACAUUGCAUCUAACUAUUUCUACAUAUAACAAUCCAUUACUACAGCUAGGGGUGUUAAAAAAGAACCGAAAAAGCGAGUAACCGAGAAAAUCUAAUUGAUCCAAACUAUAAAAUAGGGUAACUAACUCACAAUUUUUAAAACAAUUAGAUUACCCAAACCUACAUAAAAAAAAAAUUAGGUUAGAAUGUGGUUUUCAAUUUUCAAACAUCGUGAUUACCUAAAACAACCUGCAUAUGUGUAGGCACGUAGGGUUGGUUAGGAUAAUCAGUACCCAAAUCUCAACUCAUAAUUUUUUAGUCAUUUACUAAUAAUAUUUGAGUAAGGAAGACCAUUAUAUAUUUUAUUUUUAAAACUUAUAAACUUAUCUACCUAAACCUAUCUCCCAUUUACCUUGUUCACUUCCUAUAUACAUCGCUACUAACUGCAUUUCUGGUGCUUCUUUUUUUUUUUGCUUUGUCCUUUUUCAAAACUUCUUUUCAUUUCUCAUAGAUUCUAUCAACUUCAUCACUCUAGUAAUUAUUUUGUUUUCAAUUUUUAAAACUUACAUGUUUGGUUGUGGAGUAACUCAUUAAAAAAAUAAAUUGAUAGCUUUCUAGAAAUGGAUGAAAACAAAUAUUCAAAAUAUUUAGUGCUUUAAUAUCUAAUGUGUAUUGAUUUUCUAUAUUGUUGAUAAUUUUUUAGAGUUAUGAUUAAAUACUCUUAUUGAUUUGGAAAAAUGUUGCACUAUUUGAUUUGUUAAUCUAAUUCUUUUUUUAUUCCUAUAAAUAGAAAACAAUAGGUUACACUAAAUACUUAAUCCUAUCCCACCGAUUAAUCGAUCACUAAUUAACCGGUUGAAUUGGGUUAAGGUAUAAUGCAAUUUUGCUGAACUGGUACAUGCACUUAGAGUCAACUAAAUUGCAAAUGGAUUGAUUGUCUGAUCCAUGAACACCCCUAACUACGACGUAUCCUCUCAUCGCUUCCAUGUUGGCUUUUUCUUUUAACUAUUAAUACAAGUACCAGAUUGGGUAGUACAUAUUUUAGUACUUCUUAUUACCGUUUGGAUUAGCUGUUUUUAGGAUAUUUUUGAAAUAUUUUACUAUAACAAUAUAGGUGAAAAACUUUUACUGUAGAAAUUAUUUUUGAGGUUAUUUUUUUGUGUUUUUGAGAUUGGUUUUGGAAUUUUUAAAAUUAUUUUUGUUUGUGUAUUACUGUAACAUUGUAUAUGAAAUUGAAAUUUUUCAAAAAAGACCAAUCCAAAUGGAACUUAAUUUGAAAGUACAAGUACUAUAAUUUAAUGAGAGUACUACUUUUUUAUUUUUGUUGCACUUCUUUUACUAUUUAUCAAUAUUAAAUCUACAACUUAAAUAUUCUAUUGGAUACUAGUAAUAUAUUGUACCUUGAAAAUUCUUUAUAAUAGUUUGUAUUGAUUUACUCAUGAAAUUCAACUUUUACUAUAGAUGAUGAAAAAGAUGCAAUAUAUUUGGUAAAUGAAAAUGUUUGUCUUGCAAUAUAAAUGAAAAUGUUGAUGUCAUGACUACAGAUUUAAUCUUUAUCGAUCUAAUUGUAGAAGAUACAAUAUACUUGUUAGAAAAAAGUUCAAAAAUCUUUCAAACGAUGAUGAAAAAGAACUGCAUAACACCCAAACAAAUCAACAUUUUAAAGAGGGGGAAGAGAAUUAACAAUCUUUCUUAAUCUUGCGGACAACAUUUUGAAGAGGGGAAAGAGAACAGAAGGGAAAAUAUAAUCAAACCCUCAUUCUAACACCAUGAAAAUGGACCAAUUCUAUAACUUAUACGCUAUGUUUUUGUCAAUGUAACGCUUUCUACUUCUAGUCCGAUCUUCGGUUUUUACUUUCUCUGCUAUGUGAUGAACUUGGAAUUGACUCACUUGGUCCAUUUACACUACUAUCUGACUCAUUGAACUGAGAAGACGAACUUGAAAUUGUGUAAAUUGGUGCAUCUACGCUAUCAUCUGACUCAUUGAACUCAGAAGAUGAACUUGAAAUUGAGAUAAUUGGUGCAUCUUCACUAUUAUUUGACACAUUGAACUGGGAAGUCAUCUGUGCCAAGAAUUCUAUAGCUAGCUUCGCUUCCUUUCGAGCCUGCAAAGCCUCCUCAGCCUUCAUCUCAGCCCAACGCCUGUGUAAUUCAGCAGCCUCCUUCAUCGUCCGCUCAGAAAUCACCGAUGCAGCUAUCAGCUGAUUUGCGAAAUGCCGAUCAAUCAUUAACAUUUUAGUUUUCUCAUCUGCACCAAGAUUGAAAAAAUUGAAAUUUGGAUCAGCACAAGAACGGCAUAUGUAUGGGACCCCCCGGAUGGUUAUAGAGAUGGAGGUUGAGGUUGCGGCUGCUCCAGAAUUAAUGCAGGAGAGAUGAGUGAUUGCCGGGCAGCAAUAGCAAUUGACUAGAUCUGAAGAGGGGUUGGGAUUUUCUGGUUCAUAGACUUGGAAACAAAUUGGACAAUAGGCUCCACGAUACACGUUGAGUAAACAAGAUGUGCAAAGUUGCAAAUAGUUGUUAUUGUGAUAGACAUGGUGUAGAAAUGGAGGUUUCCCCAGAUCACAAAGCACACACUGACCGUUCACCAUGUUUUCUUGAUCAAUUUGCUGAAAAGAAAUUGAGUUUUGGUUUAUGAAUGAACAGAAGCAAUAUCAAUUUUAGGUAUUGCUCUUUUAUUCAGUCAUUGGCACGGUGUAAGAAGGAUGGAAUUCAUGGCUAAAUAUGGUGCAUAAGUAGGAACAAAGCUGUGGAUGGUUAAACUUAUGAUAGACCUGGUUUAGAAAUAGAGGUUUUUCCAACUCACAAGGCAUCUUCCUUCAUCAUUUGUGAUCAAUUUAUAGAAAAAUGACAUAAGUGUGGUGUAUUUGAUUUUAUUUUUCGUUUUUUUUUAAUGGGGGAUGAAAUGAAAGAUAGUGACAAAGGAAUUUAUAGCUAAAGAUUGAGCAUUAAUAGGAGCAGCAGAAAUAUUUAGGAUAAAUAAUUAUGAAUCCGCAUCAGAAUUGACACUACUGCCACUAUACUAAUAUACAAGAAAAAAAAUAAAUAUAUGGUAAUUAACAAUUACAUUGCCAUAUAUCGAAUACGUUACAAAAUUAAUUACAUGAAAAAAUAAGCCAUUUGUGACUAAUAUACAUGGUAAGUUGGUAAUGUCUAAAUUAAUUAUCCUACAUUACCAACCUUCAUCAAGAAAAUUAAGUUUUAUUAUUUUUGAUGAUGAUAUUUCUUACAGUACCAAAAAAAAAAAAAGAGGAAAAAAAAGCAAUGUAUCCUUGGAGUGGCCUAAGUUCUAAGAUCACAUAAUUGAGACAAAGUUGGCGAUCGAGUGUAGAGAACAGUUGGUUGCUCAAUUCUGGUGGGCAGUGUACAUAUAUCUUCUUAAACAGAAUCAAUCAAUGCGAAUUAAGAGAAUAGUUAAUGUUGUUAACAAAUUUCCUCCUAGGCAUUGAAUAGUUAAUGCUGUCAAUAAAUUUCCUUCUAGGCAUUGCUUAUCCAUUUGGUUAUUUCUAAAAAAGAGAAUGAAAGAAAGGAAAAAGAUUUUGAAAUAUAAUGUUUAUUUCUGUGUUUAAGAAAGGGUUGGCAGCUAAAAUGUAUUAAAGGCAUAUAAAAGCACACAUAUGCAUUAUUCACGGUUGAUAAUACUUGCUAUAAGCAAGUUGAUUAGUCUCUGAUUAAGAAGUAAGAAAAUGUACUUAACGUUCUAAUAUGUGCAAUCUACGACAUUCUUGUGGAAUUAAUGAGAAAAAAAAGUAGUACAUGGGUUAUUAACUAUGAUUAUAGGAACAGCAUCUAUAGGUAAUUAAAAAAAAUCUGUUAUAAUUAUAGAUGAAAACUAUAGAUUCGAACAUUUAAAGAUAGAUUUAAGUUUUGGAUAUGCUACUAAAGAACAAAAAAAAUUCAAAAUAAAAGAAAUUGAAAAGUUUCUUAUUAUGCGAAGAUUAGAAUAUUAUCCAUUGUAGAUACUUAGAGUUGAUGAUAAUUAAUAUGUGAUAAUGACAACAACAGUAAGUAAAUAUGUGAUAAUUAAUUAUAGCCGCUUAUGUUAUAUAUUGCAAAUUGUGCACUUGUUAGCCGUUCUGAGUAAAAGAUUGUGAGUCGGUGAUGUCUAUCCAAAGCAUCACCAACCUUUAUUAAGGGAAAAAAUAAAAAAGAAACAACAGGAAAAAAUAAAAAGUUUUUCCAACUUGGCAAUUGCAAAGUAGCCCUAUGAACUUUCUUUGGUUUACAAGAGCCCCUUAAACUAAAUUUUCAGCACCAUGCAUCCUCGAACAAUCAAUUUGACGGAUGUACUUGAACCAACUCAUGGAUGCUAGGAGUUAAUGAGUAAAAAGUCAUUAAGAUAUCUAAAUUUACUAAAGAGGUGAAGAGAAAGAAAAAAAAGAGGGCAUUUUGGCAACUUAAUUGAAUCUAGGGAUAUUAAUAACUUUUAAUCGUCAAAUUCCUUGCAUGGAAAACUCAAUUUAAGUACAACACAAAAAAUAUAUAGUACAAUGUAUACAGUGCUGUAACAUAUAAUUUAAAAGUAUUUUGAGGCGUAAAUGAGUCUAAAGGAGCAUAAAUUUGAACAAUUUACCUGACUCAAGUUCGAUCUUAAAUUCGAUUAAAUACUUAAUUUGAUCCUUAGAAUCGACUCGAUAGUAUUUAGGGAGCUCGACUACGCGGCAGUCAAAUUUUUAGUAAUUAUAGUUUACAAAUUUGAAAGCAUUUCAGUUCAUUAACAGCACAAUUUGCAACUUAAAGAAAGUUUAUAGGGUUUUUCACCUAAUUUUUAUAUGCUUACUGGAUAUAAAAGUUACGUGCUUCCAAUUUUUCAUGGUAGUGUAUGUAUAUUUAUGAAGGAAUUGUUUGAUCACCCAUUAGACCAAAAUUUAUUCUUUCAGAAAGCAUAACCGUUUUGAGAGAGAAUUCACUUGGCCAGAGACUUGAUUCCGUUAACUAACUUCAGUGGCAAAUUCUUUCCAGUCAGGAUUACUUGCAAAGAAAAGCAUAUGUGCAAAAUGAACGUUCAAGCUAUUCUAAAACAUUUGUUCUUUGUGACACGCCAUCCACUUUUUCAUACUUGACAAUAAAUGUGAUUCUCUCCCAAAGCAAAACUAGUAACUAUUUUUAUGAUGUAAACAUAUUUGAAACAAUGAGGUUCACCCCUCAAUCUGGUACUAAUUAUAUGCAUUUGGCGUCAUUUUUUUCUUUACUAAUUUCAGGGAUGCAAUUAGAUUUGCACUCUCUUUAUACCUGUUGAUUAUAUCUAUUUGAGUUUCUGCACCUUGUGUAAAAGUGGAACCUCUAUGCUUGAUCGUUUCUGAGAGCUGGAGUUUCAUUUUCCCACUUGCAAACUUCGAUUCAAAAUGAAUCUAUUUUGGUCAACCAUCCUACUGGCAACGUUGCUUAUAAUCUCUUCAGGUACAUCUGUUUUAACAAUCUGCAUUUUGAUUUGAAAUUUCAAUAUGGCACUUAGACGGAACUUUGCUAUAUAUUACUCAAAAGCGCUAGCAAGGAAUUCUUGAAAAAUUAGUUUUCAUUUGAUCGUUUCUUUGUCUGCAUUUUUCGGAAUAGCAGUUCAGUCUUGUGUCUUGGGAUUAGUCGCAUAUGCUUCUUUUGUGCUGUAAUGGUGCCUUCAAAGUUAUAUCAGAUAUUAGAAAUCGAGCAUCACAUAUGUGGAUAGUAAUCUGUUGGUUUGACAAGGGUCAGGGAAUGGCUGGUAGAGUUUUCUAUGUAGAUGCAUAAUUCGAAUUUUAGAGGUAAUAGUUGAGGAUGGACGGGUAUGGAGGGACAAAAAAAAUUAAGAAUUUUAUCCUUAAAAACCAACCAUAUAAGAGGAUUCGGGAUACGAACGAUUGUCAGUGACAACCAUCUAGAGCGAUGUAAUAUAUUCUAAACACUUCCUGCGAAUUACUUGUAAAACUUUAUAAUAUACACACAAUUAUUAUGCAAAGGGUCCACAUAAAUAGUAACAAAAUGUCACGCUCCUAUUGUAAACAUAUACGAACAAUUAAGAAGUAGUUACAAUUUGUUUAAAAAAUAUUACACUGUUUUGGAUAGUUGUCACUGAUAACCGUCCAUGCCCUGCAUUCGCACAAAGAAUUAUCAAAAUUAAUGAUAGACUAAAGAGUUAUCUCCCUUAAUCCAUAAAAUAACUAUGUCCUAGUUUCAAUUACCAAAUAAUUUGUCAAAUGAGCAAGAUCUUAGCUUUGGGAACCUCGAUUUCUUACUUCAUAAAGUAAAAAGUUGGAAUUAUAUUGGAAUUUUGAAAUUUUCAUACUUGUAAUUCUAAUUGAGUUGAAUUUACCAUUUGAAUAUCACACUUGGCUUAAACUGAUUUAACCAAUUCGUCUCUACUUUGUAGACAUUUUGUUGAUAUAGUUUUAUAUUGUUGUCGUCUGUGAAAAAAUAAAAAAAAAUUGAAAAAUACCAUACGAAAUAUUAUGCGGCAUUGAUCAUAUAAUUCCCUGCAUCAUCUAUUGCUUGUUUGUGGUUUGAGAAUGCAUUAGAACUCAACGUUGCAAUUACAUUUUACUGUACUUCUUUGCUCAAAUUUAGUGAAAAUUAUUUUUAAACGCUACUGUGUUGAAUCAAAUGGAGAAGUUUAGCCGGCGUAAAUCAAUAUUUUUCAUGAAUAAAGUCAACCAAUUUAAUUAAACAGGAUCCUAAUCCAUAUUAUCUACCUCUAAUACUUUCACUUUAUGAGCUUUAUCAUUUUUUUUUCUUUGGGAAGAAUUAAGCAUCUUAUACUAUGUGUGAAGUUACAACUAGAGAGAUAAACUGCAAAAACACAUCUACUGAACUUCAUAUAUUCAACUCCAUUUGCAGGCUUAGGAGUUGAAGUUGUUAGUUGCAUAACAAUUCCAGAGCAUAUCUGUCAUGAGAAGAUUUACACCAACAAAUGUCAGCCAAAAAAAUGCACACAAAAAUGUUCAACAAAACCAAGUGGUAAGGGCACAUGCAGAGGCAACAUUUGUGAAUGCAAAUAUUAUUGCAAGCAACCUCCAAAGUGAUCCAAAUUUUCACGUAUAUAUAACUUGAGGCAUAUCACCAGGAUAUAUAUUGUUGUUAUUCAUGAGCCAAGAUUGUUUUGUACAUAGUUAAGUUUAUGCAUCUUGCUUCUGUUUGUUGAUUUACACACUUGAUUACUUGACUUAGCUGAAAUGAUAUGUUGUAGACAAUGACAUUUUUUCAUUUUUAGCCCAAAUAGGAGGAAGUUAAGAAUAUUAAGAACCCUCUCCAUUGAGAUAUUAAGAAUAUCAAAAUGGACAUAUACAGCACUUUUUUUGUCCAAUGUAAGUCCACUUCUAACAUAGAAAAAGGUGAAAAAGUAUCCUCUUGAAUGCAUAUGUCAAGGCUGCAUUCCAAAUUUCUAAUAAGUGGUUCCAUUUCUAUACAUUCUGAGCAUAGCCAAAAAUGGAAGAAAGAAAAAUGUUCUUGGACGGUACAAUAUUUUAUAUGGUCGAAAUUAGAGGUUUGUAGCACCCAGAAAUUGAAGAUUACACAAAUGAUAAAGGAGUAAAUGCAAGAAGUUGCAUUAGCCCACUUGCUUUUCUUUUCUUUUCUUUUUCUGUCAGCAAAUUAGUUGAGAUUGAAAUUAUUAAACUUCGUGAUCCUCUCGUCCAAAUAGUUUGCAAAAAAAUCAUCUUAUAUUAAACUUGGGAUAGAGAUAUCCAAUCACAUGACUAAAUGAGAAUGCAAUAGAGCUAAAAUUUCAAGCUCAGAAGCAUAAGGAAUAGGCUUAGAGAAGUUGAUUCGAUCAUUCUCAAUAAUGUCUCAAUAACUACCUAAUAAUAUAAUCUUCUAACCCCUUAAACGAUUCAUCUAAUCAUGUUCAACAUUGUAUCAAAUCCAGUAAACUUUUACAACAAUAUGCUAGACUAAAUUUUCUUAAUUACUUGGAUUUAAUUACGUAUCUAAUCAUCUCUACCUAAGAAUAGUAUCUUCCAAUCCAUUAAACGAUUCAUCUAAUCAUGUUCAACAUUGUAUCAAAUCCAUAAACUUUUUACAACAAUAUGCUAGACUAACUUUUUUAAUUAAUUAGAUUUAAUUAAGUGUACGGACAGAAUAAUAGAAUGUGAACAGAGAAAAGCAAAAGCGAAAGUGAAAGCAAAAACACCAUCAAAUGGACCACCACAAAGGUUAAUUCUCAAUUAAGGUUGGACAGAUCAUUACUGCCAUGAGAUGGUGUAAGAUGGCAUGUUGUAAAUCUUGAUUUACAGAUAGAUCAUCUCACAACCAUAUAGGAUCAUCAUAUGUAAUUGUAAAUUGCAUAUAUUUUAGUGGACAGUUUAUCAUAGACUUAGUGGACAACACAGUCUAUCAUAUAUUUUAGUGUACACCAGAAUUUAUAAAUGCGUGUGCACAGUAAUCCUUUGUGUCUUGAUGGUACGUGAGAUGAUUCUUCAUCAAAAUUUGGGAGGCACAUGGCAAAUUCUAAUGUUUUUAUGACUGCAAUAUCACAUCUAAAUUCUGUAUUCUAAAAAUGGUAGGUCUCCUGAAGAAUGAAGCGUAUGAAAGAGAUUGGCGACUUUGAUGACUUCCUUUCUUUCGGUCUUUUUUUAAUUAUAUCAGAUGUCCCUGAUGGGACUUUUCUUUCUGUCUGGUAAUGACUUUUCUAACAAGACCACUGUCUUUUCACCACUUCAAGUAAACUCCAUCAUUAAGGGAGAAGUUCGCUAAUUCUGGUGUUCUAAGGAAGUUCUCCUCCCUCUACAAUCGGGUACAUAACUAUUUUUGGUUACAACUUUUGGUGAUUCAAUCAGCAGCAGAAGAUGGAGAUUGGGCAAAGAAACGACCAUUUCAGUCCUCACUGGAAAAGGGUAAGUGAAACUGCAAAGUUCAGUGUCUAAUUUCCCCGUGUUUAGUUCCUUUUCAAACGUAAAAAUGCAUUUUCUAUGUCCAGACAAAUCCAGCAAUUGAUCAACGACUUAAGAAACAGUGUAAAGAAGACCCUUUCUGACUUGUAUACUUCUGUACUGAUAGGAUCCGUCUUUCAUAGAAGGGCCAGAUUCUGCAGGAUCAUUUAGUAUUCCGGUCCAAGCUUUGAACAUCGCAUGGGGAAGAGACCAUCGUUACUGGCGAUGGAUUACGCUUGGCGAAGACGAAAAUAGGUAAAAUGUUAAGUCCUGACAAUUUCUUAAUUGAUGCUUAGCCAUUUCUGUGUACAGGAGACUAUUCUGCUAGACUAGUCCUAGUUUUUAUUAUUAUUAUUAAAAGAGAAUCAAUAAUAGUUCUUCAUUUAUCUUAUGAUGAUUCAAACCCGUAACCUCUUGGUUACAGACGAAACAUUUUAACAACUAAGUCAUGCUUGUUGUCAAACUAGUCCUACUUAAGCUAGUUUGAUGGCCCAAAUCUGUAGAGUAUACCUCAUGCAUGUAAUCUUUUUUGACUUGUAUAUUACUGCCUUUACCUGGUAUACCUGACCAUAUGACUAAAAUGGAAUUAAUCUCAUCUUGCUUACAGGUCAGUUGGCUUUGAGCAAGCUGUAUUACUCGAUCAAGUGAACUGGUUUGAAGUGACUGGAAUGUUGGACAUUCCAUGCUUGAACUUGGCCGUGCACACCACCUAUAGACUAUACUAUGUAGUAAAGUUCUUGCCUGGUGCAUUUGGGUGGCAUACGGCCGAUGUCAAAUUUAUGGUGAAGUUCAAAAUACUCAGGAGAUCAUGUCUACUGAGCUCAUCAUACUGGAGACCUACAAGAAGCAACCUGAUCAGUGGCAUGAGAUACCUGGUGGUAAACCCUUUGUUGUUAACGAUGAAGUUCUAAUCACUACCGUUGAGUUUGGAAUGUUUGAAGUGGAAACUGAUUGGUGGAAGGGUGGCAUGGUACUUGGAGGGGUCAAAGUUAAACCAGACAACCCUCCUGCCACAGAGCAGCAAUAAAUAAGAGUCUUUACUAUUGUUCUUAUCAUCAUUUUUUCCUUUUUUGGAGAGAAGGAAAUGGAUAAGAUUUGAGGAAUAUUGAGCUAUGUUGCAGUCGUUCCUUCUCUUCCAAGGCCUUGGAAUGUGUUUAUUUGUUUAUCCUCGGUGAAGCCGGACACCAUCUCAAUAUUUGUGUAUGCGCAUGCUUGAAAAAAUCAAGUGCUGUGGUUAUGGUUUCCAGACAUCCUACCUUGCUGCUUCCAGGCAUCUAACCAAUUCUUUAUCCAUUUUGCUUUUUUGGCAACAUAUUGAGUUGUUCCUUUUCUUUUUUUUUUUGUCCCCUAUGGGAAGCAACAUUUCUAGGAUUAAAGAUCAAUUUCAUUUCCAUUGUAAUGAGUACAUGCCUUCUCCUUUAUACUUCUUUUUUUCUGGGAUGCUGAUCAUUUUCUUUGUUUUAUUUAAGUCGUUUGGCCUUUUGCUUUUUUUUGGCAAAUUUCCCAUUUAAAGAUAGCAAAGGAGCAUAGGCAGCAGGCGCUCAUCCUCUGCCUGCUAAUGCAAGAAGAAUACUACUACCUUUUCUAAACUUUUCAAUGGCUGAGAAUAACUUUACAAAAAGUAGGCAAUCUGAAUGUCUUGAUUAUAGCCGUUAGUUAUCAGGAGAAGAAUAAUCUUCUACUAAAAGAUUCGUAAAAAACCGACAUUCACGUGAAGCCCAGCAUGCAACUUGUAGCCAUCAAGAAUGUGUGCUUCCUAGCUUGAGAUUCGAGGUCCACUAAAAGAGAAUAUAUCAACCUUUAACAAAGCAAUCAUGCUUGCAGAAUAUAAGCGCUGCUACCUGCAGCAUAAACAAGGCUCCCCAAAGACUUCCUUUAGAACGAAAUGGGGGCAGAGUGGUCACAAGAUGAGGUAUCACAGCCUACUGAAGAACACAGAAAGGAAACCCCUCCAUGCACUCCACAGAUCAACAAUAAUGAGUCUGGGGCAAUUCAGGAGACUGCCACAGAACUUAAGCUUCCUCACAAUCACGAAGAGAUUCUCAAAGAUGCUGAUGCACCGGUUGACAAGUCGUCUACUGAGAAGCUCUAUGAUCAGCUAUAUGCAGGAGUAUUCUUAAACCAAAAAAAGAAGGCAAGUGAUUCUGUUUUUCAACACAUUCACAAAUUUUAGUAGGUAUCUGCAAACAUCCACACGGUUUACAGAUUUAGUAGUAUUCAAAGUAAUGCAUCCUACUGAGUCUGAAAUCCUGUUGGGUAGCCAAGUGAAUUAAAAAUUCCAAACAGAGCUAUCAUCACCAUUUCUUUCAUAUUUUUUUCAUAAAAUAUGAACUUAAUUAUGCAAGAAUAGUUUUUACCAGAGACUUUUAUGUAAUGCAGAAGUAUUGGAUUGAUAGGACCUCUAAGAAGAACUGCUUCAUGCUAUAUGCAAGAAAUCUUUCAAUAACCUGGGCUGAAGACAGAUCCUGCUGGCACUGGCCCUUCAUAAAAGAAUCCAGGUAGCUACCGAGAAGCAUAGUUAGCAGACAAAACAAGAAGUCUGCUAACUGUGUCUAGCUCCAUCCAGUACCCUAAUAGUCCUUAUUUAUUAUUAGCAGGACAAGAACUGGGUAAACAAAGAACAACGACACGUUGCAUCAGAAAUCGAAUAAUAAACUAAGAGAUGAAAGUCAUAAUUUUUGUAGAAUAGUUAUGAAGUUUAACACUUCUUGGAAAGAAUCUUUUCGAGUAAACGGUUAGUCACCAAAAGCCAUGCCAUUUGUUAUGCACAAUCAAAAUUCAAAAACCAGAUAUGCCAAAAACACAACCAAUAACAGAUUUAUCAUGUUUUACAGACUGAUGCUUCUGGACUAUAAACUGAUUACUAGUGCUGCUUCCUAUUUUGCAGUGAUGUGACUCUAGUGCUGCAGAGCUGCUGAACGUUUGCUGGCUGGAAAUUCAUGGAUGGUUCAACACGGUCAAUCUCACACCAAGAACUCUCUAUCAGGUUGUAUUUGUUCUUAUGUUAAAAGAUCCUGCUUAUGGAUGGGGAAUUCCAGUGAACUUCAGACUCAUUCUAGCAGAUGGAAGCAGACAGGAACACAAAGAAAAUAUGAUGAAAAACCUAGGGGAAAGUGGAUAGAAAUCCUAGCAGGAGAAUUUGAGACGUUGCCAGAGAAUGAUGGGAAUAUGGAGUGUUCAAUGUAUGAAUAUGAGGGUGGGGGUGGAAGAGAGGACUGGUCAUAAAAGGAAUUCUCAUUCGACCAAAAGACUGAAGUUCUUCAGCAAUCCGCUACGACUGCAGAGGCAAUUUAUGCUGGCCAAAGUUUACUUUCAAAUCACACGGGAUGAAGAAUCCAAUUACAAAAACCAGUGUACUGAGGAAUCAAAACAACAAGAUGAUGCUUUUAUAAAUAAAAUGCCUUAAAUUUCUCCUACAAAAAUUUAUCUUUUACACCGUCUGUGUAUAAACACUCUGAAGCACGUUGGUUGUUUAACUUUCUGCGAACACAAUUAAUAAAGGAGAUGCCCAGGGUUAACCUCCAAACCAAUAUAAGAUUCAUUUGACAACCUUAUGAACACUACAUAGACCAAAUCUCCUCACUAAAAGUAAUAUUGAAAAAGAUUAUACGGCCUAUGCUUUUGAUGAUACCUCUAGAUCCAUUCAACAGUUCACAAGUACAAACUGUAAACAACAAAAGUUACGUGGUCAAAGCAUUUAUUGUACUAAAUUCCAGAUAAAUCAAUUUAUGUUGAAAACUAAUCAUUCAAUAAUUAUAGAAGAUAAGAUAAUUAGUGCUGAAACCUUAUUCUAUACUAAUUUAACCGAAAAUUGUAUCAUGGAUCUAUGAUAAACUUCAUAAUGAAUUUAAAUUUGACAGAUGUAUCAUAAUCUGAAAAUGAAAUAGAGAAGAAACCUGAAAAGCAAAGAACUGCACAUUUGUCAACUGUAGACUGUUUGAACCCAGAAGAGAUUAUUAUUAUGUAGGUUCUUACUAGAACACAAUACAUUGGGACGCUGUCCAUCCAGAAUAGAAAAUUCUAUGGAGCAUAACCUCUCCAGAGAUAUUCUAAUAACUAAAAGUUGGACGGACAUUCUUCAUUAGAAAAUUGUAGCUACAUAUGUCUGCACACAAAUGACUAGGUUCAAGAUGAAGAUACAUAAAUCUUCACUCUCACCAAGGCUUAUUCAGACCAAGAGCUUCAGGAGAAAUUUCAGUUUGUGACAUCUAUUCUAGACAUUAGUUCACCAAAGAUUGCAUUUGUGUUCAGACAUGUGAAAUCCCUUGUACUCGUAGUACCAAAUGCUAGAGGACAUUCCAAUGCCAUGCAUUUGGGCCAAUUUCCUUGGACAUGAGAGACAAAUAUACAGAGAAACAUACAAUAUCAGCAGAACCAAAAUUCAAAAAGUUUCAAGGAAUUCAUCACUGAACAAAGAAUGAUCAGAUGAAGGUGCAAUUUUAAGUUUUAUCCUGUGCCAGAUGUUUAAUGCAAUGACUUAGUUACUGCUCCAGCUACCAAAGUAUAGCAUACAAGAAACAGAGGGGGACUUUUCAAGGGAGACAGAAAAUGAGAUAUCUAUUAAAUGAAACUCAGACCCAUAUUUCAUAAGCCCAUUUCCUUGUCUACAUCUCAAUAUCUAUCUCUAAGAAAUUAUUAUAUAUUUAGCUUACUAAAAGUAAAAUUUUGAGUUUAGGAUAUGAAACAACUACUCACUUGCAAUUUCAGCCAAAAAGAAAAUGACGAACUUCAAUUACUUGUUGAUUUUACAUCAGUCGCCAAGCAUUCAGUAGUAUAAGCUUGUAUGGAAAGAUAUAGAAUCUCAAUAAAGAUUAGAAUUCAAUGAAGUCAUAGCCACCUAAACCUAACAGCAGGUCUUGUAUCACAGGCACAAAAAGAACUAUGUAGUAUGUCAAAUAUCUGUACGGUAAUUUUCUGGCUUGUACCACAAGAGAAAUCAAUUCCUUUGUUCUUUAAUCUCUCAGUUGCAGGACCAAUUCUCUCCAGCAGCUGCCACAUUUAAUACAAGAAUAUCAGGUGAAGACUAAGGAAAACAAACAAAAUACAAAAAAAAAAAUAAAUGUUAAUACUUUCUCAUAAAAAAUUUCCUAUUCUAGUCAGCAAUCACAUUCUAAAAUACAGAUAAAGCACACGUCUCUGCAGCAGUCAGUCGUUUGAACUCAAACAGAAACAGACGAGUGGAACGAGGUAAACAGUAACGAAAACAAUACACAUUGUCACGAAUACAUCAACUGAUGGCCCGCAUAUCCAUGAUCACAAAUCCAGUAACAAGCCAGCAACUUCUGGCUGGUGGUAACAACCCAAAAAAGUGACUAAAAGGAUUCAAAUACAUGAACUGAGGCAGAGGACAAGUGAUGGUACUAACUAGGUAAAUAAGAGAAAACAACAUUACAUAUGUUAUACACAAUACCAGAUAUCACAAUCAUCCAGUUCUCCACCAGAUUCCACACCAAACGUGUCCCCACGCCACUCUUUAGCUGUGCUAGUUUCCUGCUCUCCACAGACAUCCACAGUUUUCAUAUGUUCCUACCUACUUUUACCCACCAUUAUUUGGUUUGGAAGCUCCUACAGCUUAAAAUAAGUCCUAACUUCUUAAAAUAAGUCCUAACAGCCAAGGAUCCAGAUGCACAUUUAAGAUGAAUUUCAUGUGCUAAGAUGGAUAGCAACAUUUAGAAGGCCUUCUGGGGCUUGUGAGGAAAGUAUAAGUUUGAGUAAUCGAUAAAAAAUUCAGCUUCAGGGUGUGUCAGUUUGAUGUGUCUUUUGAUCCAUUUCACCUAUUGAAUGGUUACCUACUCAAAGAAACUGUAAUGGAGUAAAGUCCAGUCAAAAUCAUAUAAAACAACCCAGAUUCUUUUCGAAGUAACAAUUAACUAGAAUAAAGAUCUUUGGAGGCAGCUAUACUAGCACGAGAUUGCCUACAACUUAAUUUCUUCUUCUGAUCAAAAGACUGUAAGCACUCCUUUGGAGUGCAGUGACUGGUAAAGUGCUUCUAAAAUCAAAAGCUCCAACUUCAGCUUCAUCCAAAAGUACUAUUAAGUGAAAGUACCUAACCCAAGAAUUAUUAAUGAAAUUAAAAAGCACUUCACAACUGUAAAGAUUCCAACUAAAAGCACCAUAGUCCAGAACGAACUCUAAAGUAAUUAUACAAGAUCUGGGUGGUCAGCCUCCAAAUCAGAUCCAUAGUAAACAAGCUUGCAACCAUCAUGUUUUCUUUCUAGCAAUUGUUAGAGAAUAUUUAGCUUUAUUCCCCUGUUGGAUUUCAUUCACGAUUUGAUGCAUAUAUGGGAUAAUCAUAUAAAAUAUUCUGUUACAGGGAAAAAACGCACGCGCGCGCGCACAAUUACACCUUACGCAAAGAUUGCUGUUUCUUAGUUAAAGCAUCACGAGCUUAAAUCUGGGCUCAUCACUGACAAGAAAUUAAAUUGUGAAUGCAGUAGAUAAGGGGGAUAAUUAACCUUUGCAUGCAAUACACCAUUGGAUACCAAGACUGAUCUAUCAAAUACUGAAAACUUCCCACCAUCCAUGCAAGAAACUGCUCCUCCAGCCUCUUCAACAAUCUGUUAGAAUUUGCAAUAACACAUAUUCCAUUAUGAGUCAAGAGCAGCCAGCAAUAACCACAGAAGCGAAAGUGACAACUAUCACUUUUAAAACCCUGAAUCUUGAAUGAAAAUAUAUAAUCAGAGCAUCCAAAUUCUUUAUCAAAGUUUGUACCUCAAAGAAGUACAUUUAGUUUAAAUACUGCAAAAUUCUUAACUAAUCUAUGAAAGACUUCAUAUAACACAGUUCUAAGCAUCAUAAGUUGAGCCAUUAUUCUGUUGUGAUCUAAAAGCCACCUUAAUCUCUGUUAUUCUCACUUUUGAGAAUAGUUAUUAAACCUGGCCUGGCCGGUGGUUUGACCAGUUAACAAGGUGAACAGGCCAUUAGGCCAGGCUGGGUAGCUAAUCUGACUGGACAAGGCACUCAACCGCUAAAUUUCAAUGACUCAGCGGCUCAACCAGAAGAACCAGGAACCCAUGAGGUUUUUUAAGAAACCCUGGUCUGUGAAUUUUGGAGAAAAAAGUUAAUCACAUGCUGCUGCUUCAUUUCAAACAUGCAAUCUCCAACAUGAGGUGGCAAGCCUCCCCGCUGGGCCAGUAGCUCUCCUGAUGUUAGUUGAAGGUUUUCUAUAUAUUUAUUUAUUUCUUAACGUCCUCCCUUUAUUGAAGCCUUUUGUAAAAGCUUCAUUAUGCCCUCAUCCUCUGUGCUAAAAAUUAAGAAAUUAAUAGCCAAAAGAUAUAUUACUGCAAUUCAAUAUCAAUCAAAAUGAUAUAUUAUUACAACUCAUCCACAAGACAAAUUUGAUUCAAAAUAAAAUUUUACCUCUGGAAGUUAAAUUAAAUGAAAUAAAAAUUUACACUUGAAAGUUGGUUUGAAAUACUAGUGAAAUUUAUUGCUCUCAAUCCUUAAAAGUAGUUACUUACUUAACAUUUCAUUGAAAACUGAAGAAAAAUUUUGUUGUAAAUUGUAACAUAGUCUGUUAAUAUCUACGCUUGCAUUAAAAAGUAUAAGUACACUAUAUUUAAUUUUACACUUGAAAGUUGGUUUGAAAUACUAAUGAAAUUUAUUGCUCUUAAUCCUUAAAGUAGUUACUUACUUAACAUUUCAUUGAAAACGAAGAAAAAUUUUGUUGUAAAUUGUAACAUAUUCUGUUAAUAUCUAUGCAAUAUAUAUUGCAUUAAAAAGUAUAAGUACACUAUAUUUAAUUUUAAGAUCAGAUUCAAUCAACCACCCACUGGUUGAAUCUGUAACCCAUUGACCCACCCUUUCACCGGUUUCCUGUCCGGGACAGAUUUAAUAAGUAUGGUUUUGAGGCUAUAUUGUUACAUUAGCUCAUAAAGGAAGCAUUCACUUUAUUGGAGACACUGCUUCACCAAAACUUUUCCCUGCUCAGUUGACUUAUAGUCACUGCAAUCUUUACAAGAAAAAUGCAGGCAUAUCUUACACUUCAUGCUGAUAAUAAGCAGAUGGCAUACAGAUGGAAAGGAUAGCAAAAAUUCCUAAUUUAGCAGAAAAGUCCCAGUACGUUCUUUUUGGUAAGUAAACAUCCUAUUUAUUUGAAGUUCAAUAAAAGUUAGACAGCAAUGUUGUGUCAAAAUAGACCAUUGUCAAUCUGUAUCAUUAAAGCACUAGAUCGAAAGAACAUAAAAGAAAUAAAACUGUACUCUCAAUGAAAUAAGCCUGAUACUUGAAUUUCUACAGGAAUAUUUGGAAAGUAAACUACAGACUCAUCUUUUGCAAGUUUAAAAUGGCACAAUAAAAAAGGAAAAAAUUACCAAUACACCAGCUGCCAUGUCCCAGGGUUUUAGACGAUAUUCCCAAUAGGCUUCAGCAAUCCCAAAAGCAACAUGGCACAUGUCCACGGAAGCAGCUCCAAGCCUUCUAACACCCUGACCAAGAAGAGCACAAACAGACAGAUAGACACAUAAUAAGAUGGAGAAAGAAAGAUAGAAAUAAAUAAGUUAACCAUUAGUUCUUAGUUCGAAAAAGAAAUAAGUGUUUUUAUAUUUGGGAUUAAAUAAAGCUAACAACUAAAAAAGGUAACUCAGGAUUAUGGUUUCUUUUAGUUUAUAUAGUAAGUAGAAGAGAGUUGUACCCUGCUAACAUCAGUAAAUUCCUUGAAUAAAUCAAUGUUGGUAGCCCAUGCAUCAUCAUGUUCAUAUCCAAAUCCAGUCACCAGAAGCGAUUUUUCCACCUAAAUGUCAACAAGUACAAAAAAAUGUUAGCUGGAGCAAAAGAAAUUCAAAUUAAUAAAUCAUAAACACCUAAAUAGGAAGUGACAUAUUAAUGUAAGUUAUUGUUAGUAUGAUACAGUUGAUCAAACAGAUUGCUUAACAGAUAUAUUGUGGCUUUCAAUGUAAGCACAUUGAAAUUGUUACACAGAAGAAUAUAUUGUAAGCAACAUAAGAUUUGUCCAUUUCCUUGUAUAGCUUUCCAAGAACUCAGAAGAACUGGAAACUAGUUCUUGCAUAGGGCUUAGAUUGGCAUUGUCUGAUGUAACAGCUUAAGAACUGGAAUUGAAAUGCUACCCUUGUGUAAAAUCUGAAAUUCUCUGAUCAACAAAAGUUUCUUACUUUGCAAAAAAAAAAAAAAAAGCUUGAAGCAAGCAAAAUGCUGGAUUUUAAUACUUCUGAGAAAUGCUGUUGCCAUGAGAUGUGCAUGUCCUUUAUAAAUAUUAACUCAGAACAAGUUACUUCAUGUAGCCAUCUAAGACCAUGAAACUAUACAAUAACCAGAAUCUCAUUAACAUUUUAUCUGAAUGUGGUACAAUCACUAACCUUAUCAGUUUGACUGACAUGAAUCUUUUCACCAUUGGCAAAGGCACCUUCACCUAAUAAAAUCAAGAUUAGCAAUUAACUAAUUAAUCAGUAUUUGUCUUAAAUCCAAUACUAAAAGAGAGAACAAAAAGUAGGGGUCAAACUGAACUGGACUAAAGUAAGUAACUAAAAGAGAAAACAAAUAGAAAAACUUGAACUGGGCUAAAGUAAGUUUUCUUACCAGAAGCUGCAGAAAAGGUGCGAGUAUUCCAGCACAUGGGGCCGCCAACAAACUCUACCUACAGAUAUGCAACUGCAUAAUCAACAUGAGUUACAAAAAAGGAACUGUCUUUUUUCGAAGAUCAAUAACAUGGGCAAAUUCUGGGUUUAUUUACCUUUCAAUAUGCUUGGAAAUUCACAAUUAAUCAGAGUAUAACCAUAAAAGAUCCUUGAAAUGUCAAUUUUUAAGUAAGAAGUACAAAUUAUAAAGAGAAAAUCGAAUGUGAAUCCCACCUGCAUGUCACUGAAAGUUUAAUUUUAAUACUAUUCAAAAAGUAAAAGACAACUGAGUUCCUGAGAGGAGUAGAUUCUCUUUUUGACUCUCAACAGUAUCAGGAAAAAUUGCUAAUCAACAAUAUUACAUUUGGAACACUGUCUUUUAAACAUCAGAUGCUUAACAAUGCACCCUUCUGUUCCACACCCUAAAAAGUGUCUCUGUACUAAUCAAAUUGCUGCUAUUCAAAGUUUACAAGAGCAUAAACAUUUCGAUUUAGAUUUUUAUAACCAUCACAUACCGUCAUAAAGGAGUAAGUAAAUGAUUCCUGGUGCUGCCUGUGUUUAUGACCAUGGUUGUAUGAUAAAGGGCAUUUGUGGUUACACACACAUACUCAUAGAGACACGGUGCUCAACAGAUGAAGUACCCAUAGGCUGUAGCCACUGAAGCUUAAAAGUUUGCACAGGCACAUUCUCCCUAAGCAAAUUUGUAGUGAAACUGGAAUUUAGGUUCAGAACCUAGCUUGACGAUGUGUUUGAUUUUCGGGGAGAAAUGAUGCAGCAGCUAUGAUGUAGCUAGAAAAGGCCAAACCUAUUGGAGACUUUAAGUCAAAGUAGGUCAUCAGAAAAGCUUUCAUCCAAGGCUAGGUCCGAUGGUAAGUGUUGUAAUGUUUGGACUGCAAAGUUCUCUGCUAGCAAGGCAAAUUAUUGCCAAAAAAAUGCUGUUUGGAUUGCUACAACAUUGUCCAAAAAAAAAAAAUCUUAGUGCUCAGUUUUCCAUCCAAUGGCAGUUGUGAUCAUAACGGAACAUUUCUGUAAGAUAAUUUGGUGCAUCAAAUGCUAAGUGAUUUAAUUGCUUUUCCAUUAAAGAAUACAAGAUCAAUGGCCCAGUUCUAAUGGAAAUUGGACUCUUCUCAGAUAAGACUUUACUCCUAACCACAACCCUAUCCUUACUUCUGAGCUAUCCUACCACUGACUCUUAAAACAAACUCACGAGGAACUGGCUGUCUUGGGAAGAAAUGAAGUAAGCCAUGGCUCACCAAUUUCUACCAGCAGAUCACAAGCAAAGAAAUGCAUACAGUUUGUGCAACUAAUGCAAGAGAAUAUGAGAGUAUGUGACAAUACUAGUAAAUUCCGUGACUUGCCUACUUGCUAUUACUUAAAUAGAUGGAACAACAGUGCAUGAUUGAUAUGUCGGAAAUAGGAUUAAAAUCUUUGUUUUCCUUAAAAGUUGCUUCAGUAAAGGUGUAUUAAUUGGCGGAUACCGACUCAAGUUGCUUCUUUCAAUGAGGAUACGUCCAAAAUUCCCCCGAAGGUUGCUAUCCAAAUUGUUCGUAAGAAGGUGAGUUCACUGACAUAAAGUUCACUUAAAAAACCUGUUAAUAACCCACAGAAUCACCAUGAUGGCCACCAAAGAAAAAGCUUCAUUAGCUUUCAACUUCACAAUAUGUUCACAAAGUUUCCCAUAAAGGCUCCUCUGAAAAAUGUCUAGAGAGAAGACAAAUCCACUCAAGAAAUACAUGUGCAGUUCCUUUCAAAUUUAGCUUCAGAAAAAUGAUAUCUACCUGUGGAUUCAGUCAAGACAAAUCAGCAUGGCUAUAGCCAUAGAAGUCAUAGACAGCCACCUUCAAAACUUUAUUAACAUUCCAGUUGAUUCAUCAACUAAAAUUUUUUUUAUGUAACUCUUCCUGUGGAUUUAGCAUUGGAAAUUGUCAUUCUUGAUGAUUUUUUUUUUCUUUCCUUCUGAGAUUAAUGAGAUCUUUUUCAAAAUAUCUAGACGAAAAUCAAGACAUGAAGCACAAGCAUGUUUAAAAAUCUAUUUUUCAACCAGGCAGGUGGAGGCUAAAUUAGUUUGACUGGAGUUAAAACUUUAAAUAGUUUAACACUUAAACUUUGAUUUGGUUGCUCAAAUUUAGUUUGACCAUACAUGGCACUAUCUCCAGGUUCAUUCUCUCAUUCUCUUCAUCCUCCCCUUCUUAUGGCCCGUGAUGGAUUCUGCUGAUCAAUCAGUGAUGCUCAACCUUGAUCAUCAGAUGAUUAGCUCGUUAGUUAGACAGUUGACAGAAUCAGUUUUUGUAGCCACAUAGUAGAGUUUGUUACAGCUAGAUGGAAUUUAGUUAGUCGUUUUAGCUAUAGUAGCGGAUUGUAUAGUCAAGCUAGCUUCAUAAUUAAUCAACUGAAUUAUUAUGGAGGCAUUGUCAGAUGUAAUUUCUCCUCUUUUCUCUAACACAAUCUCUCCCAUUUUCCUCUCUCCACUGUCUUUCGUUCUCUUCUUUUCUGAUUCUCUUCUCUCCCUACUCUCUGAUACUCUUCCUCUCAUUUUUGAUAUCUGAUUAAGCCAUAACACCAGCCACCCCCCCCCCAAAAAAAAAACCCAUGGGGCAGCCUUUCUGAUUCAAUUUCAGUCAAAAUGGAGGCAGCCUACUUAUAGCUGCCAAGUCCAACGGGUCAGAAUAUGAAAGAAACUUGUUUUAUGUGGUAUACAAAAAAAAAUAAGGAUCAAAGCAGUGGUGAAUUUCAAAAUUACAGCUUAGUCUCUCAGGUUUAUGAAUUGCUACUAAGCAAACACAUAAUUCAGGUUCUAACACAACCUAGUGCACCUAUGACUUAAACUGUCAUUUAACUGUACCAAACACAUGUUUAAAAAAGUUAGGCUGACCUAAAUGAGCAAAUUUAUAAAGAAAGAAACCAUGUGCUAAUCUAGUAACUCCAACUUAACAAAUGAAAAUAAGCUUAUGUCAAUGCGAUAGAAUAAGCUCUUCCAUUGCUUACCACAGUGGCGGCAGCUGGCUUGCCUCUAAACAAUACUGCAACAGAUACAGAAAAGCUAGGAUAACCAUGUGCAAAGUUUGUGGUCCCAUCUACAUUGUGGAAAAGAGGUAGGCUCAAUAAUCCUUUCAUAUAGAGAGAGCAGUAUAGCAGCACCUAGAACUAAAAAAAUAAAAAUAAAAAUAUAGCACCAAGAACAGAUGCUACUAUGUCUUUGAGUAGUCUGUAGAACAGGAUAGCAAAAAGCCAAACUAACUGGAAAAUGUAGUUGACCACCUUCAUGCACUGUAUUUGAGCAAUGAAAAAUAAAAAGAUUUUCAAAUGAAGCAUUCAAAUUACUCCUACAGGGAGCCCUCAAAACUAUGACACUCAAUACACUGGUACUAGAAUUCAUGGAAUAUAUUAGAAAGAAAUAUUGUACGAAUUCCACCAAGGCAUGUCAGUUUUCAUGCUUUCAAGAAUUUUUGAAUUUCAUGCUCUCAAAGAUGAAAUCUCUUGAUUCAUAGCUGCUUGUAUUUUGUUGAUGGAAUGCUCCGGUUCAAGGCUCUCUUUGCAAAGACUUAGAUUCUGGGGUUGGUGAAUAUGGAAUUUAUGCCCAGCACUGUACUAAUGCUCAAUUUCUAGCCAAGUUAUGCAGCAGUCUGACAACAUCACAGGCAAACUCUGUUUGUGGGUUUGUUCUCCAAAGUUCAAAAUAAGCUAUAAGCAGCUUUGUGAUAUUAAUAAACAAUUAAUAUUGAAAAUUUGUUAUAAAAAUUCUAAGUAUGGAUUUGCUUUCAUUUUCUGAAAGCUAAAAGAUGUUUCCAAAUGCAACUCAAGUUGCUUACUAAAACAGCUUAUUUCAAUUUCAAUUAGGCAGCUUAUAACUUGUUUUAAGCUGUUGAGAACAAGCCCUUAUACAUGAUAAGCAAGUAAAGAAACAGGAAAGUAAAAUUAGAUAAACAAACUACAUCGCACAAUGGAAAUGAUAAGCCAAAACAUGGAAUGAUGUUAUCACAUAGACACAAGAAGAUGGUCCAAAAUGUAAAGUGACCACACUGUCAGAAAAGAUACAGGUAACUAUACAGAAAACCACUUCAAGCAGCUUGCAAAAGUCUAGUCAAGUUCCAUAAAGAUAAGGAAUUCAGGAAAUAUAUCAUGUAAAUCUGUAUGUAGACAAAUUAACAGAUUUAUGAGCCAAACCUAAAGGAUCGAUACACCAAAGGUAAUCAGAGGAAGAAUCUCCUAUAAGCCCUCCCUCCUCACCAAGAAUUAGGUGAUCUUGGAAGUUAUUCCUGACAACAUCUAGAAUAGCAGCCUCACUCAUUUUAUCAGUGCUGGAUAAGAAUUCAAUACAAUAAAUCAAGAUGCAAAAUUAGGAAUAAGACUGCUUCAAAAAAAUGACAAUAGGAAUAUAGAGAAUUGUAGAACUGACAUGCAAUAAUACAAACUGUAAAAUUAAGAUCAAGAUAUUGAGCAAUAAAAGAGAAACUUUUUCAUCUAAAUCAUAAAGCAUGCCCUAAGCAGAAAAUGCAUAGAAGUGAGGUAAUAUAACAUGUCAAAAUUAGAGAAACAUAACUAUAACAGCAGAAGAACAAGAGCUAGAAAGAGUAAUAUAACAUGUCGAAAGUAGAGAAAAAUAACUAUAACAGCAGAAGAACCAGAGCUAGAAAACAAAUGACAAAAAAAUAAAAAUCAAGAAAGGUAAGAACUUUGAAAGUUGAGAUCAGUACAGAAAUAAGACAAAGCAUAUCUAGUACAGAUGCAUUUUAGGAUAAGAAAUUGCCAAAGCAAAUAUGAAACUGUUCAACGAAUUUGGUCUCUGAAGCAUUAACAAGUUGAUCUGUGUCUGGUUAAACAAAUUCAAUUUUCUUAAUCAAAGAGGCGAAAGACAUCAAAAAAGAAAAUGCUAAAUUAGAAAAGAUCACAUAUUUCACCUGUAGAAUGUUUAACAUUUUAUGUAUAUACAUAAAAAAAUGUUGGUUUGGUGGAUUAGGAAGACCCCAGUGACAGAGUUCAGUAGUCUUGGACUGGAAAUGCUGUAUUACACUUUUUUGAGUUCAUUUUUGGUCUAUGUUGAAAACAAUAGCCAUAACUAGCGUGAACAGAAUGGAUGGAAAUCAUAGUACGAACAAGGUAAGAAGAAUGUUUAUGCAUUCUUUUCGUGGUUGGGCACAAAGUGCAGAUAGGAAGUCAAGGUGCCAAUAACAAUAGCUAUAACUAAACGAAAGCAGCCAAAAAUCACGAAUAAGUUAGUUCAAUCCAACGGCAUCUCUCUACAGGGAGUAUUGAUAGGUGCAUCAUGAUAGAGGUUACCACAUGGGUACAACGCACACUACAAAGAUAGAAAUUUUAUGAUUGCAUGAUAAACAGCAUUUCUCCCAAAAAAAAAAAGGACAUUAAGAUAUCAUACAGCUGCACCUAUGCCCUCCAGUUAUGAUAUAGUUUAAACACAAAAGGGAUAUGUGUAAUACAUGCAUCAAGAAUCACCCCACUAGGGUAAGCUUGACAUGGAAUUUGGAUAAAAAUAACUGCAUUGUGAUCUAAUGUGAAAUAUGCUUACUACCUAACAUAUACAUCAGUUUUAGCAACUCUCAAAACAAGCAACCAAUCAUAACACAAUCAAUUUCAAACAGUAACUAAACAAUCAAAAGAAUCGCUUAAAUAUGCUUAAUUUUUUAUUAACAGAGGUCUAAAGCACAAAAGCAUAGGUACUCUAUAAUUCUUACUCAGUCACCAGAUCGCUGAGCCCUAUUUUAUAGGCAAUAGUUCGAGGCUUGUUCACAGUAUCCAUUACAACCUGAAAUGAAUUAAGAAAGCUUAAUUAGAUAUCCAGAAAUGAUCUUGCUUUUCUUCAGAAAUCAGAAAAUAGUAGUGAUUUAAAGCAAUUAAAAACAAUGGAAAGAGGAACCUAUGUGCUCAGAAUGAAGGAUAAUGACAGGGAUUAUAGACUGAUGUUGACAAAGCGGAAGGAAAUAAAAUUAUGAAAAUGAAGAUCAGAAGCAUUUUUUCACUGAUUCAUCUGUAAGCAAUGGUAAAGUCAUCUAGAGGCAAAAGGAUUUCAACGUAAAACAUGCCAUGCAACUGCAUUUUGGAAAAAAAAAAAAUUGCAGAUUAAUUCUAUUCAUGGUCAUCCAUUGAAAGAACAUUGAAACCACAAAGUAUAAAAUAACUUGUCUUGAUGCCAAAAAAAAAAUUUCAAGACUGGUGGAAUUUUCCCCAUCUCUGUCCUACAUCCAAGAUUUACAAAUAUUGGCCUGCAUCUCACAAAUAGAACCAACAAAGCAUUCUUGAAUGCAAAUGAUUCAGUCGCUCAAAGAGAUUAAAAUGCAAAAAUUGGCAUGAAACAAAAAAGGAAAAUAAUAUAUUCUGUUGGAUCAUUACUAACUUGACAAAUAUGGAUAUAAGAUCAUUAAAGUAACUUAAUUAUAACAAUGUUUCAGGCUUACGUAUCUAUUCCAACUAUCAUACUGCACGAACAAGCCUAUAUUAGCAACAAUCUGAACAAGAUUAUUACCAGAACCAAUGAAUGUUAUUUCAUGGAAUACAAGAUUGUUUCUUUUUUGCCCACAGGUAAGCAUGUCUUAACGUUACACUUUUACAAAGCACUAUACCAUCAACUCUUAAGAGUCCUGAUCAUCUUCUUAUUUUUCCAGUCUUGUCUGCUACACUUACCAAAUACUCUUCAUUCACUCCAAUAGAAAGACAUUAAAAUCCAGGUCUAAGCAAUUUUAUUUAACCAUACCUUGAUCAAGAAAAUACCUUGGCAAAUUUUAUUAGGAAACCUUCUAAGAGAAUUCUUCUAUAAAAGCAUGAAAGGCCUCAUAGGGUUAACUUUUGCAGUCAAAUUUUCUUCUAUUUGGCAUUGUUAUAAAAGCCUUGGUGGCAUUUAAAGUUGCAAGGACUUACGAUCAACAAUUAGAACAGUACCGUUGCCAGAAAACACGAGAUGGUUUUCUAAGCCAUUCCAUCCAUCACUUUUUGUAACACCUAAUAAUUGACUUUGGGAAUGGAUAUCACCCCCUCAUUCCCUAGUGGCAACGAAAAGGAACUCGAUAUCACUUUCAAUUAAACAAUUCCAGUUUAGACGGUAAUAAGGCUACUAAUUUCCUUAAAGAACAGAAAAAGCUACUGAAUCCACAGCUAGCCUUGGAAAUGCUGUACAGGUAAAAUUCUACAUCAUUAACAACUUUACGGAUAGUGGCCAAAAUAGCCAGAUACAGAUAGAGCCAUCAAUUGAAAUCUCCCAUCCAACAAACUUAAUAAACUGCUACCAAACAACUAAUUUCUCCAAGAAAGAAACGACAAUAAAGCACUGAUACUAUAUUCACCUUGAGACUGGUUUUUCUACACAAUUGAGAAGUCAUAAAAAAUCAAGAGUUAUAUGGAAUCAAACCUUAGCACCAGUCUCAGCUGCAGUUUGAACAACUUGAAGAAGCUUUUUGGAAGGAAUUGGUCCAGUUGACUCAGCACCAACUUUAAAGAACUGCUUUUGAUUUGAAACUUCAGAAAAACAGAGGCCUUGCAGCAUAAUCUUCUUGUGGGCAUUGCUUUAAAAGCUGGUAUGCUACAAAACCCAUCUCUGCAACCCCUGAAAGAGUCCAAAUUUGCAUUGGAACUCCUAAAGUGUGAAACUUUAGGGUAAUUACAGGGUAGAAUUGAUGUAUGUUUUUGACAAAAUUUGGAGCGUGUCAAAGUGGGUGAGAACAGAAAUGAUUUCCCCAUCCGGAGCAGUUGAAGAUUCCCCUUGGUUAACUUUUCCGGACUUUAUGUUCCUUGUGCCCUGUCUGCAGAGUAACAAGAAAGUUGUAAGCUGUACUAUUGCUAUUACAGAUGGCUUCUAGUAUUCAAUCUUGUUAGCGUGCAUCAUGUGCACGUGUUUUCCUCUGUCACGAAUACAAAAUGGAUGAUGGUAUGUUUGAACCUAGCUUUGUCUUGUUGGACAUGGAAUAUUGAUGAAAAUAGUUAUGGGUGAACAGGAAUAUGCUCAAUUAAUGACGGACAAGGGGCAGGAAUGGUUGCAACCGUUGUUGACGGUUUUUGAUCAUUUUCAACAGCGCGCUAACUUUAGUUGCACAACGUGUAACUUUAGUACAAAAUUUUGCGGACCCCACACAUAUUGUGAAAAUCGAUGUACAACUAAUGAUCUGGACGCAUAAUUUUUUUUUGGCUAAAAUCUAGCUGUGAACAGUUCAGGAGCAGUCAUUCUGAGGGUUAGGAGCGGGAACGGUCAUCAGAUGGACCGUUCCCAAGCUGUCUCCUCACAAUCGUAGACGAAAGGAUUACAACCAGCCACGUCGAAUAGUUUUGGGAAGGUGGGAAAAACCACGGUGUUUCAAUUAGUAAUGGGAAAAAGAAAAUGAAACUGCUAACGGAUCCCGUCACGAAGCGUCAACUCCAGUCGAAAGCGCAAAUAAAGCGUCAAAACACAAUGCAUCGUCAAACACAAAAGUCUUUUGCUUUCCCUCCACACUAACUAUAGCCAAAUUUCAGUCACUCACAACACCAGAAAACGGAAGCAAAAAGAGAAAAUAAGAAAGUGCCUGGAGGCAGAACAAGCAAGUGGCUACAGGCAAGAAAGUGGCUGGGGCAAACUAGGAAAAGGGGAAAGUAAGGAAAAAUACAUUUGUGACUAAGGAGCAAUCCAACAUGCAGAGUUGUCGGCGGUUUGAAAUCUGGAAGGGCUUGGCAAAAGUGAAUCAAAUGGUAAAGCGGAACGUUGGGGCAUCUGGAGAAGAGAAAAGGCAAGAAACACCCAGGUAACAAAACAAAAUGUUAUGACAUCACUUUCGAAACUUAACAAGGUGCGUGAAGCGAUGGGAGUAGUUGUUAUUUUCGAACAAUGUCAUAAAUGAAUAGGUUAAUUGAUCUUUAAUGAUUUUGAUGGAACAGAAUGUUUAUUGGUACUAAAUAGUAUAAGGUAUGCAAUUUGGUGGCCAACAUUGAGAGGACAGGUGCAGAAAACUUAGUGCGCCAAGUAUUUGCAAAAUCGUGUGAAUGGGAUGUGGAAUUGGUUGUGUAAUAAUAUAACAGUGUACUAGUUAUUGCUUUGAACUUAUUGCUGAUUUUGUUGGCUAGCAAUGGUUGUGGGUGGAUUAUAGUUUGUUUGUUUGUGGUUUGUACAUCCUAUUGAUGGUGACAUACAAAGCAAAAAAAAAGUGUUACAAAGAUAGUUCCCUUAAGUAUGUAUCAGAGUGUUGUAUAAGAGACAUUUGAUAUAAAUAAAUAGUGACGCAGAGUAAAAUUGUUAAGCGGCGUGAAUGCAUAUAACACUGAGAUUGAUAGAUGCAUUGUGGGUAAAAAGAUUACAAGUUGUUUUAACUAGCAUGUUAGACAGCAGGUUAGAUAACUGUUACAUGCAGUGAUUCAGAAGUUACAAUAGCAGAAUUGAUAUGUAAAAUUGCAUGAACAUAUUGUGAACUUUCUAGAUAUUGUUUGUUAGUUAACUCAUAUUUGUAUAAGCACAGGAUAAAGAGAAGAAGAAGUCGAUUGUUUGGAAUUUGAUAGGUAGGGCAGCAGACGACAAGCUGAACAAAGUACGAAAAAUGAUUUACAUAGUGUUCAGUUUGACAUACAGUAUGUCAAACUGGUGUGGAAAAAAGGUUAUAAGUUUUGCUCCGCUAGUAUGAUUGGACAUGAAGUUGGAUAAGUGUAACACGCAGUGACUUAACAAUUACAAUAUAAGAACUGCUCUAUAAAAUACUAUAUUACAUAAUUGUUCAAUUGGUACCUCACAAUUGAUACAUAACUCAUAUGUGUAUAGUAGGACAAGAAAUAGAAGAAGAAAUCGAUUGCGUAAAAAAAUAAAUGAGUGAGAGUAGAUCGUAAGUGAAAUUUGCCAGGCAGAAUAAUUAACUCACUGUUAAUUUUGGACAAACAUAGUGUGGAACAAAAGUUACAAAUUUUUGAAAGUAUUGUUACUGAGAUUUGAGAGUGAUGUAUUAUAUAUGUUAUUACUUUGUAAUGCAUUCAAAAUAACCUGGGAAAGCAUAAUAGAACUGAAGUGCAGUUGUAUAACUCUUAGUUCAGAUGGCAGGAAAAAGAUCGAGAACUUCAAAUGGCCAAGGUGGUAGAGAUGAACCAGCAAGAAAGUUUGGUGACAAAGAACCCGAGACUUCAUCUAAAUCACUUAAUAUGUAAGUGGCUAGUGUUUGUGUCUCACAAUUUGUAUAGCACUCAAAAGUGAGAUUGGUGAUAAUUAAGCGGCAUAUUGCAGUGGGAAGAAGGCGGGAAAAAAAAAGGAAAAAAAUGACGCAAACACAACUGAAGAUGAGCAAAUGGAGGUAGCAGGAACAAGUGAGGUUGCGGAACCACUUCCACCGUUGAAUCCAUGGAUGAAGUUCAGGUCAGAUUGUAGGUAAUAGAAAAUAGCAAUCAUUGUUUAAUAGCACUAUUAAAUUUGUUUCACUGGACUUUGUGGGCAGGAAAAAGUAUCAGUGUAAGGUUUCGGCGAAAGGAGUAAAGGUGACAGAGGUAUGCAUAUCCAUCAUAAUAAAGAAAGCAAUUAAUCUACUAUUUAGAAAGAAGUACAUGGAAUAUAAGUGAGGACACAAGAAGUAGAUGAGUUUAACGUGGCUGAUAUUACAAUGUAUAUAAUAAUAUUGCCGAGCAGCAUACAAUGAGUUGAGUAAGGAAGACAUGAUGAAGCGAAAAGAUGAGUACCUGAAAGAGAAGAAGCAUGUGAGAAAGAAAUGGCACGCCUUGGAAAGUCGACAGUGCAAAAAACACGGGCUACGGCUAAGGUAAACAGAAUUUAUAAACUGUCAAGCACUUGAUGAAAAGCACUACCUGGCUAAUGCAUAUAUAUACAACUUGGUUGUAGAAUCAAAAGUACACCAUACGCUGCUCGCAAAUCAAAUGGUCACAUUUAUUUCAAGGAUCGACGAUACAAAGAAGCAGCAGAUUAGAGAGAUCGGGUUUAGAGGGCUACUAGACAUACAGUGCCAUUCCAUUCCAAGUGAUAUAACAACUUGGCUAGUGGAUAACUUUAAUCGGACACUAAACAGCUUGCAUCUACAUGGAGACGGUGUACUGCCUUUAACAGGAAAAGAUAUAGGUUUAGUGUUGGGCAUCCCAAAUGAAGGGCGAGUACUAGUUGAAGAUGCUGAUGCUAGCGAGGUAGGGGGAUCUGGGCCAAGACGUAGGACAUACAAAUGGUAAGAGCUACCAAAUGAGUUGGUGUCCAUGAGUCCUGGGGAAGAGUUCAAACAGCUGUUUGUUGCAUUUGCUUGUGGAUGUCUGUUAGCUCCAAGCACUAGGGCUAAUCACAAAAUAAAGCUUUGGAGUUGCAUGCAAGAAGUUGAUAAACUAGCCACUUUGAAUUGGGCGGAACAUGUUAGGAACGUGCUAUGCAAUAAGGUAUUGGAGAUACAGAAGAAAAGUAAAAAGCAGCACCAAUACGUUGGAGGAUGUAUUUUGUGUUAUUGGUAAGAAUAUUUAUCCUUCGCAAGCUGCAUUGAAAACGGCUUUAAUGAAUAUGGCAUGUAUGGAUACACCACACACUUUGUGAGGGCAGUGUGUACAUAAUAAUUAUAUGACAUGUGAAUACGAUAAUUGGGGUACCGUGUGUCAAAAUGAAACAAUUAACAAUAAGGCAGACAAUAAUUUAGUCAACUAAAUAACAUUAAAAUUUUUCGCUCUAUAUAUAUUGCAGAUUUAUUAUCUUGAUCAAAUGUCAAAAUACUAAAACAUAAAGUGUCGAGGACUAUUCCAAUAGCAAAGGCAUGGACAGAUGGUCUGAUCUCGAAGGGGAUGCAUUGGAGAUUGAUAAUCUUGGCAGCUAUGGAAAAGAAAAGCUGGUAAGAUUGGUAUUAUUAACAAUACGUUCCAAAUAAACUUAUAUAUAAUUUGUAGUCCAAUUCAUAUACAUUUCGAGGGUUGCUAAUAUAUGUUGUCGUAGGUUGGACCACAUGAAUUAGUGGAGGCCAAAGUUGGCUCGUCGAUGACUGAACCCCCUGAUCUGGUUGGGGCAAUGAUGUCAUGUCGAUGUAUGCAUAAGUGACCUCAAUAUUUGGUAAUGAUAAAUGUAUGCAAACGUAUUGUAAAUCAGUAGGGAUCUAAUUUGACAAAGCAUGCAUACAUCCUACAAAUAUGGAAUGUACAUGCAUUCAUACCAUUAAUAUGAUAUGGAAAAAGAAUGCAUGUUGGUUGUGAAAUGUUACUCGUGCCACAUGCUGGAUUGUGUAAAAUAGGUCUGUAGAAUUCAUUUUUGAAAUGUUGCAGGUUGAGCUCUCAGAACUGUAUAAAUUACUGUUAUGAGCCAACGGAGGAUACAGAAGCUUGCAGAAAUCAUUUCUUCGCAUCGGCGGGGAAAAGCAGCAUUCGAUUUGGUCGAAUUAUUGCACACGGGGAAAAAAAUAAAGACCAGAAGGUGGCAAUGCACCGAAAUACCGAUUGCGAAGAAGGAUCUGAAUAUGAAUCUGCAGAAGAAGGGCAUGAUGGUGAAAAGAACGAGAAAGAUGAUAAAGAAGAUGCGGGUGCCAAAGAUCAUGAUGAAAACCUUCAGGCUAGCGAUGGUGAAGGAGCUGGUAGAGCAAGAGAUGAUGCUAUGAAUAUAAGUAGGCAGCAUAAGGGAGAUGACCAUAGAAAUGACAAAGGUAUAGUGACAAAUAACAAUGGGCAAACGAAUGAAGGUCCUUACCCAUUUUCGGGCAUUGUGACACCAAUGAUAACAGUCACAAGUGUUGAAAGUAGACGACUAGCUGAAGUAAACAAUGAUUUCUUGGAGAUGGGCAAGGAGCUGCAUGCGAACAUAGAAGAUCAACAACAGCAGGAGCUGCAUAAUAGUAACAGCCGUGAAUGUGGUGAAGAUGUUUGUCUAGAGGAACAACCGUCAUAUCCCAGUCAGCUUGAAAAUCUCGCAUUUGAUGCACACACUCCGAGAAGGCUGCAUUCAUAUGGUCGAAAUCGACAAGGUUGGUUCAAUAUUUUUGUCUAUAUUUUCAUGGUUAAUAAAUAAAUGUACGAUACAGAACAAUUUUAGAGAGCAUUUUGAGAACUUACUUAUAUUCAGACUAUAUUUGAUAUAUACUCUAAUGAACAGUUACAAAGUGUUCAUUGGUUAUUACAAAUACGUUGAUCUCAAGUUACAUGCAGAAUAUCCUUUUUUACAGUCUCCAGUUAUAACAUAAACUCUAAUAUCCUUAAUCCUUGUCUUCAAUUGUCUCAGGGAAGAAGGUUGAGUAAAGGCCUAUUCGGGCAAUGAAAAAGAGCACGACGUUAAGGUCGGCCGAGUAUAUCCUGCCGGCACUUGUGACAGUUAGCUUGUAUGAGAAAAGGGUUGCUGCCUACACAUGGGACCCAAACAAGAAUCCCAAGUAAGUUUCUUACCAUGGCUUUAGUCUGAUAUCAACAUUUCCCAUCAUUUUUUUAAGCUAUACAGAGUUGCUUAUUGUACCAACUAAUUAUUGUAAAAUCUUGUGUAAUGCAAUGAUAGGGACAUACUGGUUCAAAUGUUCCAGUUCUCCCUAACACGCGUUGAUUUAAAGAUACUUGGCAAUGGCAUGCAUGUCUCGAAUCGGGUUAGAAAAUUUAAUGUUCAUGGCCAUGAUUAGCUUGCUUUUCCAAGCUGCCUUGUGAUUAAUGAUACAAUACCUCUAUAUUAUUUAUUUGCUAAUGUUUAAUUGAAAAAAAUCGAUGGAGCAUCAGGUCAUGGACAUGUUUGCCCGCCUACUAAAUUGGGGUGGGAAAGGUGUCGCAAAGAAUAAUGUGGAACGUUACAUCGUUGAACCCAUAGCAGUUGUGAGUUUUUAAAUUCACUUACCAUGUAUUGGCCAAUUUAUUUUUUAACCCAAGAUUUGAAGUUUGCUACGACCUGAAUAUAAAUGGAUCAGUAAUGGAACUGAAAUCCCCAAACCUCUGUGUCACGUUGAUGCUCGCAGGAAGGCAUUCUGAAAAUGCCAAAUUUUGAAUCACCUUUAAAUAUCAGCCUAUCUGCCAAAUUGGCGAAGUUGUUCAAGAUACGGAGUCGUGAAGCGGAAGCAGAUCCAGCCAACUGUUAUUUGGUAUGUAGUUACUAUUGGUAGAGAUGCUUUUUACUUAAAUUUACAAAAUAAGUCCUAAAUUAAUAAUGUACUUUUGUAUGCCUGUGUAAUAAAUUGCACUUGUGUUUAAGAUACUAACCCCUAUUUGCAAUGGGGAGCAUUGGUUUGUUUACUCCUUUGAUGUCUCGCUUAGUUUACCUUCUAGACCCCAACACUGAUCAACAAAAAAGCAAAGAUAUGGAUGUUCUAAAUCGUCUGGUACGUUGAAUGAAAUUCAAUAAUUAUUGUAAGUCUUUUUUAAUUCGAUAUAUGAGUUUGUGCUUGUUUUAUUAACUUGUGUGCUUUGUAGAAGCGUGGUUUGGGGUUGGUUAUUGCGACCAAAUUUGGCAAGGAAAUUGACUUUGCAAGUUUUUCCUUAGAAGUUGUCGAUGUGCCACAUCAAUUGCGAGAUAGAGUGUAAAUUAAUUUAUGUUCUGUUAUCAAGCAUAUUCAUCACCUUGUUUCACUUUUUUUACUUCAUUUUGCACUGAUGACUACCUUUAUCAUGUUAUCCUCAGUUACGACAGCGGUAUCUUCACAAUGGUAUUCCUGGACCAUUGGACUGGAUAGUUGCCUGCACGUAUCGAUAAGGUAUUGCUAACUUUCUGGCAUGAUUGAAUUGUAUUAUGAAAAAAAUGUUGUUAGACUUCACACGUUAUCGUCUAACAUAAUUUUGCUGGUUUGAUUAAACUAGACAAAUAGUGGCAAGUAUCGAGUACUAUACACGACUUGAUUGUGCAUGUUAGAGUAAAAUUCAAAAUUGACGGAUAUUAUAGCAACCUCACAAAUUCCAAAAAGAAAUAGUUGAAGUAUCGGCCGAGGUCUUGAAGUUGAGACUAUUCUGUAAACUGUUAUCAAGAAAUACAGAUAUUUUGUUUCGAAACAAAGAUUUUUUUUGCUAAAGUUUAGAACCCUGAUGAAGGGCAUCUUUAAUGUCGGAACACUUAAACAAAUUUUUUUGGAAGGCUUAAUGCAAGCCAAAUUGGAAUGUGUAAAUGUCGAUUACGACGUAAUUAGUUAUUUAUGCUAUAUAUCAAUUGUCUCGGUUGUGCUUUAUUGCAAUUUUUCAAUUAUCGUCUUUUCUAUGACUUAACUGUUGUGUGACAACCGCUCAUCAGGGUUGAAUUGCAAGUUUAAUUGGUUUACCAAAUGGAUUUUGAUAACAAACGGCGAUUGUGUAAAAAAUAAAUCAUGGCUGUUAGAAAAAAUUUUAGUUACUUUUUUCGCCAGACUACUCUUUUAAUGAGAAUGAGUAGUUAUAUGAUAUUUGUUUGGAAAUUGACCUUUUUAUCAUGACCACUUUACCCAAACGUUGGCGAUAAUUACAUAAUGUUGACGGACUAUUACAUAUUGAUGGUAACUCCGCUCAAGAUUUGCCUUUAGAUUUUCAUCGCAUAUUCUUUUAAUAGGGAAAAUAGAAGUCUUCACAUAAAAUUUGCGUUAGAUAAUAUUUUUUGUUCCAAUUCAUACCCUCUUUUUAUUGACAUUGGACCAAAUCUCAAACUCUAAUGGACAUAAAUAAUUAGCAGUUUAAAUACUAAAGCAGAUCAACCACCCAAUUUUUUUUUUUUACAAAAGCUACAGUAACCCUGAACCAAAGCACAUGAUAAAAAAUUGUUGUUAAGUUCUUUUGACAAUAACAGCAUCAAUUUUCCAUAACUAGUUGCUUACUCCACGUAACAUUAUUCGAAUAUCUAGUACUGCCGCUUUAAUGCUUUGUACGUAAACACUGCUGCAACUUUCACUCCAUGGUUGCUAGUUUAUAUCUGAGAGGAACCACAUAUUAACUACCACCUGUGUGAAUCAUCCCGAUCAACACACAACCAUUAUUUCAUCCUCUCACCCCAUAUUCUCUAAUCAUAUGCUCCAAAGGAGUUUUACAUCGUUCAGAUGUCUUCAUCUAGCAAUAUUGGUGGCAAAUCUAGUGAGUUAAGGUACCAAAAUCGCUACUAUAGUUGUGGAAGAAGGGCAGCUCUGAAGAUCGUCGAGUCACAGAAACCAAUGAAGGGGUUGCUGUACUUCGUCGGGAAGGAAAAGCUUGUGCUUUUUCGCUUGGUGUCAUCCAAUAGAGAGAAAUUAUGAGCAAGUUCAGACUAACUAUUGCCUUCCCUUACCUAAUCGACAAGCAAUAAACAGAGAAAACUCCAUCAACAGUCCCGGAAUAGUGAUCCAUGAAUCAAAUUCUUUCCCGUAUCAUGUGCAUCGAAUCGAACAAGAUAUUCAACAAAUAAAAACCUUCAUGACGAUAUCGGUAGCGGUCGCCAUUCUGUUGCUCCUAAUAGCAAUUUUUCACUGACAUCACUUUUAAUUUUUUGACCCAUAUGAUACGAACUUCGCCUGUAGUUUGUCGGAGAUGUAUCCUCUAUAGGCAAAGUAGCUGACGUCCUUGUACUGUUGACUUUCCAUUUUGACAGUUGAUCAAGAAGAUAGAGUAAAUAGUAGAUGCAAUCGUAUAGUUGAAUAAAACUGAUGGAAUCACAUUGAAAGUUUUUUGUGAAAUUAUAUGAUUGCUCUUUCAUCUGAAAUCACUUGUGUUGUUCAAUUGUUCUGUGUUAAUAACUCCAACAGCAUUGAAGCUAUUAAUUGUAUAAUGAUGCACGAAUGAUUACCUUAAUUGUAAAUUGUUACAAUUCAUCCGUUCUUACUUACAGCUUUGUUCGUUCUAAGUUACAAUAUUCAUAAAAUUAAAGGUCGAAUUGAAAAUCUCUAAUAGAGCAUCAGAAGCAGAAGGAGGUGCUCAUUCAGGUAGUGAAUUUGGGUUAUAAAAUGACCAAGACUAUUUAGUUUUACACAUCUGACUUUGGGCCAAGAAACUGACAUUCAUUGUGAGGUUUUGUGCACAACGUGUUACGUAUCACUGUGUAUGCACAUUGUCAAAAUUAAGGUCACUGAUGUGUAAUUCUAUAUUCACACCGAUACCCUUAAUGUUGCAGUACAGGUCAAGAGCAUGAUAAAAAUCGCAAAAUUUGUUUUAUUUUUUGAUACUGAUUAGUGACAUGACGUAACACUUAUCAAGAGUAUCGAUACUAAAAAUAUAGUUCAAUAUUUUUUCCAUACGAUUCACAAACUGUUCAUAUAUUGCUACAAUUCGUAAGUUCCUACUUACAGCUUUGUUCAUUCUGAGUUACAACAUUUAUAAAAUUUCUGGUCGAAUUUGAAAUUCCCUAUAAAGCAUUAGAGCAGAAGGAGGUACAGAUCGCUCACAGAGAUAGUAAAUUUUGGGUCAUAAACUGACCAAAGCCAUAGAGUGUUACACAUUUGAUUCUUGGCCAAAAAACUGUUGUUUUGGCUUUUCUUACCUACGUGUAGAGUGUAACUAUGUAUGCACAUAGUGAAACGUACAUGAAUCUAAUAUGUAACUCUGUAUCCACGUGACCCAUAAAGUUGGUAUACAGGUCAUUUCAUGAUAAAAGCUGCAAAAUUUAUUUUAUUGUCUGAAUUGAUUUGAAAUAGUUCACCAGCUGCAUGUGACUCUACAGCUUCCACAUUUGGGAUGAAAUUGUUGGUCUAGAAUGCAUUGGCUCCAAUAUUUUAGCACAUUGCGAGGGUCCUGCGGACUAUAAAAGGGCACAGUUGCAGUUUAUAUCCCUCAACAACACAAGUUUGUUUGUCCCCCUUUCAAUAUUGUUUACACUUUUCACUAUAUUCCAUUUCACACUUCCCGUUUCAUACAACUGAAGGGUGGCAAUGAACCCGAAUAUGAAAUUUAUUAUUAGUAGUCUUCAAUCCCCCUCCAACUUCACUUUUAGUGUCAUCAAUAGAGUGUUUGCACAGAAAUCAAAUUCUUGGAAGCCAAAUAGCAGCCAAUGGGUGGCAUGAUGUUCGAGAAGAUUUCGCUAAUUUAAUGAGAUGUUCGAGAAGGCCUCGCUACAUCAAUUGUUUUGGGGUUCGAAACGAUCAUCUCUAUAUUCUAAUUAGACACUCAAUAAAGUGUCUAAUGAAUUUAAUGUGUCGGGGGAGGAAUUAUUGUUUGUUCCAAGCGCCAUUGCACAAACAAGAUAAGAGGAAAGGUUCAUCGGACGUUAACUAGUUGUAGUAUCACUAGUUGUAAUAUCAGAGAAUAUCUAGUUGUAAUAUCACAAGUUUUAACUAGAGAAGACGAAAAGCUGCGGAUUGCAAAUUCAUUAGUUGUAAUGAAUUGUAACAUACACCUAACUAGUUGUAACUCAAUCUGUACAUGUCGUAAUGAUAAUUUGUUCCAUUUUAAAUAUUAUUUACCUCACUUUCAAAUUAGUUGUCCCAACGAAAUAUCAUGUUCUUCUGCGAAACUGUUACUUAUUAUGUGGUCGUGUGGAAUCAAGCCGAGCCGCCAAUUGUAACUUUAUAUCCGUACUAAAGGAGUAAUACCUAUUGAAGUGAAUGUAAUACUAUCUGUAAUACUCAUCGUUAAUACAAUUAGGCACCAAUUGUCUAAGUUUUAAUAUACAGGAACAUAACAAGGUGCCUGUACAAGCAUAUUAAUAAAUUGUAACAGCUUAUUAACUUCUUGUAACGUACAAUUGCAGCAUUCCCUGAUAGGGAUGACAUGGCUGCAUUUAGUAAAUGUUCGUCCAAUAGUUCACCGCAAAUCUGGUGAUACACACCUUAUGUCUAAAAAAUCUGGUGCUAGACACCGCAAAUCUGCUACUAGACACCUAAUGCCUGAAGCAAUUUUAGAGUUACAGUCAACAAACAUUAAUUUUAGAGUUAAUGUCUGACCCUUAAUAUUGGAAUACAAGUCAUUUCAUGAUAAAAGUUGACAAAUUUGUUUCAAUGUCUGAUGCUGAUUAGUAACGCUUGGGCUUACUUAUCAAGAGUAUCGGUACUAAAAUAUUUUCUAACAUUUUUUCGAUAUGAUUCACAAAUUGUUCAUAUAUUAUUACAAUUCGAACGUUGUUACUUACAGAUUUGUUCGUUCUUAGUUACAACAUUCAUAAAAUUUCUGAUCGAAUUUGAAAUGUCCUAUAGAGUAUGGAGCAGAAGGAGGUACGACUCGCUCAUAGAGGUGGUAAAUUUGGGCCAUAAACUGACCAAGGCCAUAGAGUGUUACACAUCUGACUCUUGCUCAAGAAACUAUUGUUUUGGGCUUUCUUACCUAUGUGUAGAGUAUAACUGUGUAUGCACACAGUGAAACGUACAUGAAUCUGAUGUGUAACUCUAUAUCCACGUGACCCUUAAUGUUGGUGUACAGGUCAUUUCAUGAUAAAAGUUGUAAAAUUUAUUUUAUUGUCUACGCUGAUUUGAAACAGUUCACCACCUGCAUGUGAAUCUACAACUUCCACGUUUGGAACGAAAUUGUUGGCCUGGAAUACGUUGGGCCCUGAUAUUUUAGCACAUUGCGAGGGUCCUGCAAACUAUAAAAGGACGCGGUUGCAGUUUUAUAUCCCUCAACAACAAAAGUUUGUCCGUCCCUCUUUCAAUAUUGUUUAGGGUUUAUAUUCUACUUCACACUUCUCGUUUCAUACUAUUAAAGGGUAGCAAUGAACCCGAAUAUGAAUUUUAUUAUUAGUAGUCUACAAGUCCCCUCCAACUUCACUUGCAGUGUUAUCAAUAGAGUGUUCACACAGAAAUUAAGUUCUUGGAAGUCAAAUAGAAGCCAAUGGGUUGCAUGAUAUUUGAGAAGAUCUCGCUAAUUUAAUGAGAUGUUCGAGAAGGUCUCGCUACAUCAAUUGUUCUGGGGUUCGAAACGAUCAUUUCUAUGUUCUCAAUAGACACUUAAUUAAGUGUCUGUGAAAUUUAAUAUGUCGGGGGGAGUUAUUAUUGUUUGGGCCAAGGGCUAUGGCACAAACAAGAGAAUGGCAAAGGUUCAUCGUAUUUUAACUAGUUGUUAUAUCAGUAGUUGUAGCACAUUGUAAUAUCAUAAAUUGUAAUAUCACAAGUUUUAAUAUCACAAGUUGUAAUAUCACAAAUUGUUCAUAUAUAGUUAUAAUGCAUACGUUAUUAGUUACAACUAUGUAUGUUACUAGUUACAACGUUCAAAGUUUGAGAUCCAAGACAUAACUAACACUCAAUCCUAUCCCGUGAAGAACAGGAUGAAAUGACAGACCCAGGCAAUUGUUGAAGGUAUUCAAAAUAAAUAUGUACUAUGCAUGCCACGGACAUCCGCUUUGAUAUCACACAAUAACUAAAUAACAUUGUGGUGUAUCAGACAAUAACUAAAUAUGUUUACAUACAUACACAUUUAAACGUUAUACCCACCAUCUGCCAUCCAAAUUUAUACCUCUUUGUUAUCUCUCCUCCUCCCUAAUAUUUUUGCAGACCAUCAUUCCUUUCAUGCAACCAAAAAAAGUAGGUCUUAGCAUAGUCAUGCAACCAAAUUUCGAAGGAUCUCCUACAAGCUCACGAUCAAAGGUUUAACAAAAAAUACGAAAAGUAUCGUCGGAUCCAACCAAUGCUCCAAGGAGGUACGAAACACCAGAUGCAAGGAUUUUAUAUGGUGCCAAACGCGAUUUCAAGAAUGCUCCACUUAACACCAACAACUCUCUGGAACUAGCUAGCCACAUUUUCAAAGAUAGUGUCCGCGAGCACCUAUCCUUUGGUAAUUACAUUAUGGAAUAUGAACCGAUAUGGGAGCCUAUUCGUGAGCGAAGAAUGGAACUAGAGGUAUUUUGUCACUGGCAUAGCCUCCGCGUCCUGAGAACACGCUCCGCAAAGCUUGUUAUAGGACCAGAAAUGAAUGUUGCAAGCGUAUUACAUAGACUACAGCGAGAAGUUAUGCAGAUGGAGUCUAGACUACACAGGUUUCACGAGGUUGAAACCGUAAAAAGGCAUGCUAUUACAAAAGAUUGUGAUGUCAAUAAUAUUUUAGCAGAUCCCAUGCUUAUAUCCGACUCGAACCUAUCUGACUUUUUUGAAUCAAGCGACGAUAACUUUCAGAGGUACAUACCCGAUUGUUUAAUGCAUGACGGCGUUCGCAGGUGUUGUAUGACAUACGACAGAUGACGAGACAUGUAGUCGAAUGUUCGUGAAGGUAGCAAAAAAAGUUUAAUCAUUAUAAUCUCUACUUUAACUUUUUGCCUCCAUUUGGAUAUUAAUGAUGCCUGUUAAAGAUCCUUGUACUAGUUCUAACAUAUUGUAACAUACAACUAAUUGCUUGUAAUUCAUUCUGUACGUUUCGUUAUGAAUAUUUGUUGCAUUAUAAAACUUAGUUUUGACAAAUGAAAUUAGUUGUCCCCUCGCACUAUCAUUUUCUUCUGUGCAACUAUUACUUUAUUGUGGUCGUGUGGUUAUUUGAUCAUAAUUCAAUUAGAAAAAUUCUUGUAAUACCUAUUGAAGUGCCUAUAAUAUAUCAUAUCAAUGGUGCGAACCGUUCGUUCUGAAAAUGUAACCCAUAUGUAGUGAAUUAUGAAAUUUUUUUGGUGACUAAAUGACACAUAAUAAUUCACCAAAGUAUUGUAACAAAAUAAUAACAAUUUGUUAAGGCCGAUUGCUAUAUGAUACAUGUAACUAUUCUAAAUGCCAUCCAUGCCAAUGAAGAUAUUAUUUACGAUUGGAGCUGAAUGUUGGACAAUACUAUAUAUAUCACGACAGCCAUUUGUUAUGGUAUUCUAUGAAAAAUACCAUAAUCAUAAAAGAAGAACGUUCAAUCGUAUUGCAAAAAUUGGUACUUUAAUUUUCAGUCAACUUUAUAAUUUCUUAACAACUUUAUAUAGCCCAUGACAGAACAAUUGAUGACUACUAAUAUUGAAAAAUAGUACAGUUGUAACCCACUUGUCUAAACUUGAACAGAAUUAAACAUUGAAGGUACCUGUAUAGGCACAUGAAUAACUUGUAACAGCUUAUUAAGUGCUUGUAACGUAAAUAUGCAGCAUUCCCAACAUUGCCGACAUGGAGGUACAAUAACAAAUGUUCGUCAAAAAACACCGCAAAUCUUGUUCAGGACAACUAAUAUAUGAAAAUAAAAAAAAAUCUAGUGAGUUACAGUCAACAUGCACUAAUUCAUUUCAAGAUUGUAGAUUAAAAGAAAUUGACAAUAUGGAAGCGAUUGAAACUGAACAAUAUUUUCAACAGAGAAGUACUAACAUCAAUAAAUGAGGUCAACUUGGUGAAUGAAUAAUCGAAACUCAAUAGUUUGGUCAACCACUCAAUGUGUCGUUAAAAAAUUGGACGUAUAUAUCGUUCAUCAACCUGCCUCUGCAAGAGGCGACGUCAACAACUAGUUGCAAACUCUGGGUGUUAUUUAUUUCCUAAAAUACGUAAUGAUGGUAAAUCAUCUAAUACACCUAAAGGAACAUACAAUUAAUAAUAUACGAUGUCCAAGUAUUCAAUUAACAAUACUACAUAAAUAUGUGAUGUAACGAUAAAAGUUUGUCACCUGCGGUGAUGAUGAAAAUACAUGAUAUGCAUCAAUGUCACAGUGUGUUGAAAUUGCCACACGCUCCUCCUAUAUUAUAUAAUAUAACUAUUCAACUGUCAACAAAUCAUUACCAGUGCCCAUAUUGCUCACUUCAAAAGCUAAAUUGGACAAGACAAUAUAAAAAAUGAUAUAUCAGAUCAUUAAAAUAUCUCUGACGGAAUUAUACUUGAAAAAAAUAAAAAAUUUGGAGUACAUCCAUUUUGUAGGGAUUGUUGCAGGAGACUCCUGAUUAGGCAAACGGUGGACCUUCGAAUAAUACAAAAUAAUUUAUUAUAGAAGCGAUCAUACGUUAACUAUAUAAUAGACAUGUUUUGAAGCGUUCAGAUGCCCACCAUUACAAUAUGCAGAAAAGUAGUUGUACGAUACAAAUAAAAAAACUUUUAUUUUUUCUACUAAAUGUAUGCAUACCAUUUCACUUUUCUCGAUUUCGGGACCAAUAGCAUUUGAAGGGCCAUUUACUGACUGGCUCCUUGAAUGCGUCUACGAGUUUAGAAUGAUCAAAUAAUUGUAUAAGACAAAUAAAAUAGGUAUAUCAGGAGAGAUGAUGGGCGUAACAAAAUUAUCACAUAAUGUAACAUCAAUGUAACUAAUUAUAUACUAUUAUAAACAUCUAAAUAAAAGCUAAAGCCAUGACCAUUUUAUACUAAUUGAAACAGAGUCAGUAGAUGAAUGGCAUCCCAAAAAUAAGUGUUCAUCAAAUUCAAGCGACGUCGGCUCUGAUUCUGAGACCUGUAUUAUUGACACAACAAUAAUGUUAUUUCAUAAUGAAUGAUAUUUAAACUUGAGUUAAUGGUAAUAUAAUAAGAAUGUUUUAACAUAAAUGUUUACCAUAACAAAAAAUAGAUCCAUACCAUAGUCUGUGUAGUCCUUGACAAUCUAGAUUUUUUUUUACUCUGUCAAAUUUAUCGACCCAACUUUGCAUCACUCUAUUUCUCUUCCCAUCGGCUCAUUUUUUAAUGCCUUUUGAGACUACUGCCUCUCCCAUUUCAUUUAUAAUUUCAAUUUUAUCACGUUCCUCUACAUUCAAUUUUUUAUGAUUUUUGAAAGUUGCUCUUCGUUUUCUGAGAAGAGGAACUCAACUCUCUUUGCCAAAUUGGAUAUGACGGUGAUUACUACUUUGUUGGUGUCUUCCGACAUUGCUGCUCGAAUUGGGACUUUAAUCAUAGCUGGAGCGAACUCCCGAAAAAGAGUUGAAAUGAUUGCUUUUGGAUUAGCCACAAUUUUCCGUUCUCGCCAAUCAAAACAGUCUCCAACUCGAGCUCUUUUUGUCCAUCAUCUCUUAACGUAUUCAAAAGAUUAUUUUAUGCUUACGGUAUCAAACACCUUCAACGCGUGCCCACACAAAAUUCCUUCAGUCUCGUAUUUUUUACAACUACAACGUACACUUAGAUCAUUUCGAUUGAAUACUACUAUUCUUUCAGGUCCUCCAUCAUAUCUCAUGACAAAAAACUCCACAAACAUCCCUGAUCUUGUUGUUUCAAUAUAACCAUAGCUGUUGACUUGCCAUAUUCAUUUUACAAUGCAACAAAUACAGUUGGUGAAUAUGUCUCUGCAGCAUGCACAAGUAUAGGUGUUUGACUCAACCCAACCAUGGAGAGCUUUUGCCUCAUUUCAUAUUCUGCGAUGAGUUCAUUAUAUCUUUUAUCAUCAACCACGAUUAAAAUGUCUAAAGAACUGCAUAAGGUCGUGAUCCAGUUUUAAAUGAUUUUUAAUUGCUGCAUUUAGGCUUUCGCUAAGUUGCGUGCUUCGCAUUUCCGUGGUCCAUCUUUCUUUCAUCAUACAUCUUGUUCACUUAUCGCGAAUUCGAUACAACCCGAAAAAUCAUUCAUUAUUUCAAGAUUGUGUUUCUGCACCAUCGCCUCCCACACCCUGUUGAAUUAUUCUAUUUCUUCAAUCUCAUACAUGUAGGCACCAAACAUGUAUGGAAGGUCACUACUUUUCUUGUAAUGAUUGCUAAAAUAUUCAUAAAAUUACGUCUUAUGUGAAACGUACAUAGACCGUGAACAUUUGGCGCAUGACAAGUGAAAGAGCGGCUACCAUGGCGUGAUCUUGUCAGUUCGUAUGAUCCUUGAAUGCUUUCGCACAUUACUUCUAGAAAUAUACCAAACACCACUUGAAAGAAUCUAUCGUCUCAUCAUACAUAAGGGCAGCACCGAAAUAUCAAAUUUGCUUAUGGGUUGAAACCCACAAAUACUCCAAGUUGCCGGUAUUCUUUAUUUAUUUUGUAGGGUUGUGUCGAAUGUGACUAUGUCUCUAAAAAAAGUUGUAGUCAAUUAACAUUCUACAUCACCCAAAAUAUUCGUUAUCUGUUCUUCACAAUCUAGUUGUACGCAUUGAAAAAGAUGGAUUCUCGAGUGUUUACUCUUGAAAAUAAUUCAACAUGCUACCUGCUUCUCCAUAUUUCAAGCUCCUUUCCCGUCUCAUUCGAAGAUAUCGUUUAACAUCAUCCGAGUAUAUCCCAUAUACCCAUCCAUGCCUGCCUUUCCCAUAAGCUCAUGGCUCUGUUUCAAUGAAAACCCAGUAUCCUUGCUUAUUUCAAAUUGGAAUCCUUGAGCUACACUCACUUUUCUUUUGAUGACAUUAUGUACGCACAUUGAAUAAUGUGCAACUCAUGUUAUGCUCUAAGAUAAGGUCAUGCACACGUACUUCAUUGUCCCUCUAAGCAACACGAUAACUAUUUUAGCUCCACACCCUAUUCGUCGGCUUUCGUGUCCUCUUUGGCAUCACAUCACAUUCGUACUUGCGCUCACACCUUCUUUGCAGCAACUAUCUCCUAGACAUGGUCACGCCGCCGUUUAUUUUUAUUCAGAUAGUCUUUACGUACACUAAAAAUCUAUUUUAAAGGCAUACUUCUUAUAAAACUUGUACGCAUCCUCUUCACUGUUGAACUCCAUUCCUAACUCAGGGUCCAUCUUCUGUCAAUUUGUUGCAAUCCAUUACUUCUGCUCCUGCCAAUUAUGCAUCAAACACCCUAAUUGCAACACUUCAUGAAUAGUAUGUAGAUAAACGACAACAUAAAUGUAUAUUACCAUUCAUAAUGUGUUAUGAAAUAACAUUAUUCAUACACCAAAUCUUAUUGUUACGCUUAUCAAUAUGAUUAAUGAUUCACAUCACUUUACUUUGACUCUAAGACAAUGACAUUGUCUAUGUAGAAAUUCAACUCCAUGUGCACUAAAUUAUACGGACUGUGAUGUGUUUGGUCACACGAUAUAAGUCUUUUUUAACUGUAUGUAUAUCCACUAUGGUAAUUAUAUUUAGGUUCUAGAUUUCUUAACUCACUGGAUAGCCAACUCCGCAUUUUAUACUAUUUCUACAUUUUGAGAGCCAAACAAGUAUUUUCUACUCAUUGUAAUAUAUUUCUUACAUCAUGUAAUUUAUUUACAACACCAGGUACGCCCAUUUAUUAUUCACAUCUAUUUGCCUCUUUUCCUCUUUUUCACCUCAUUCAACUCUACACCUCCAUUUUAUACACACUGCAUGAUCCGGAGAGGGGCAAAUUAAGAUUGCAUGAUGAGCAUGGACCAACUACUGGAUGCACAAUGAUUCAUACCAAUUGUAAUGCAGUGGUUAUAACCUGUAACUUAUUUACAACAGGAUGUACAUUCGUUCACUUGUUAAAUGUGACUUUGUUUCUUUCAUCUUUUCCUAAUCCCGCUUGACGCUUUACUUUAAUACAUACCUUUGGGUUUUCGGAUAACUACUAUUUUACUAUAGUCCAUCACUGAAAAGUUGAAUGCUCACACGCACUUGAAUACAGUACAAAUUGACUCACAAACACAACCAAUAUUAUGUUUUUAGUAACUCUAAUUUCAUCCCUAAACCCUAAACCGAUGUGCAUUGGGUGACAAAUGAUUGACCACAGUUGAAGGCGAUGGUUCAAUCAUGUUAUCUUGGUAUGCUAAUACGCUUUAUGUUUCACCCAACUUGGAGAGCGUAGUUGCUUCUGCUAUUAAGUUGCACGAUUUUCACCAAAUUCGUCAGAUGAUGAAUUUUCUCUGUUUGCUUCUACCUUCAGUUUGCUUCCUAUUUGCUUCUAAUAGUUUGCUUCAGUUUGCUUCAUAAUAGUUUGCUUCACGACCUUCAGUUUCAACCAAGUUUGCUUCAGUUUCCUCACUCUUUGCUUCCUCUGUUAGAAACAGUUCAGUCGUGCAACCACUCUCCAGUCCUUUGCUUCCUUGGUUCAGUCAUUUGUUUUUACUAUUAGGGACUCGGAGAGUACACUCUUCGGGCGGUUUUUGUUUUGUGCGGCUACUUCAAAUUUUCAACUUUCAAAAUUUCAACUCUUCCGUUUGUUCCGUCUGUUACCGUCACAGCAAAUGCAACUUUUUUUGGAGCACCCAUCGUUUUUUAGCCUUCCUAACGCGGCUCAUUUCUCACCUCACGGUUAUGUUUAUGAGGAGAUCGUGUAGGAGCGGUCAUCAGAUCGACCGCUCCUACCCCGUAUCCGUCAAACCCCUCCAAGGUCUAUCGAUAGAGGAGUUUAUUUUGAAAUCUUUUUUGGAAUAAUCGCUAUAGCAAUUUUUAUGACAUGAUAAAUGUACGUGAGAUAAAAAAAGAUAAUUAGAAAGAUUAAAAAAUAAUAAGAAAAAUCAUUCAAAAUGUCCCUCACAUUUUAAAAAAUGACUUUUUUCAUCACUCACUUUUAAAAGUGUAAUUUAACAUCUCUUACAAAUUCACAUUGAUCAAAUUUGGUCCAUACUUAGGUUUUCGACUGAUUUUUUGGCAGAAUUCAUCACGUGCCUUGCAGGCAAUCAUUUUUUAGGGGCAAAAUUAUCAAAUUAAAAUUUACAUAAUCUAUCUAUAGUCCCUUAUUUUUCACAAAUAAAUUAUUUCGUUUCUCAAAUUUCACAAAAUAAAUUUUUUCAUCUCUCACAUUUCACAAAAUGAAUUUUUUCAUCUCUCAUUGAUCUUGUAUACGAAUAGUUUUUUUUAAAUCCAUGUAUAUAUCUAUUUGAUUUCAUCUAAAUAGUACAAAUAGCAUAUAAUAUAUCUCUAUUUAAUUUCACCUAAACAGAUUAAUUGUAGUUGUACAUCUGUUAUUCAAUAGAUAUAUAUUGGUUUAAAUCUAACAAUUUUAUUUUAAACCUAUAUAUAUAUCUAUUUGAAUUCACCAUGAACAUGAGUAAAAAACUAACAAUUUUUUUAAAUCCUUGUAUAUAUUUAUUUUAAUUUUACUUAAAUAGUACGUUCAGAUGAAAAUCAAAUAAAGAUAUAUUACAUGCUAUUCGUAUUAUUCAAGUGAAAUCAAAUUGAUAUAUAUAUAUAUAUAUAUAUAUAUAUAUAAGUUAAAAAAGUUAUUCGUAUAGAUGAUCAACGAAGAAUGAAAAAAAUUAUUUUGUAAAAUAUGAGGGACAAAAAAAUUCAUUUUGUAAAGUGUGAGGGACUGUGAAUCAGAUUAUGUAAAUCUUGAUUUGACAAGAUUGUCCUUAAAAAAUGAUCAUAUGCAAGGCACGUGGUGGAGUCCAAUAAAAAACUAGUUGAAAACCUAUAUAGGGAUCAAAUUUGACCAAUAUAAAUUUGCAAGGGACGUAAAAGUAUACUUUUAAAAGUGAGGUAUGAAAAAAGUCAUUUUACAAAAUAUGAGAGACGUUUUGACGAUUUUUUCAAAAAAUAUAUAUUUAUAAUGUAAGAAAAUAAUUUGAAAUUUUUGGAUAGAUGUUAUUUGGAAUUUUUUUAAGAUAAAAAAAAACUUUUUAUGGUAUGAUGUAUUUGAAAUAAAAAGUGGUUCAAGAUAUAGAACUUGAAAAACGUGUUGAUAAUGUUGAGCACUUGUCAGAAGUCCAACCUCCAGCCCCUUUGCAUAGCCCUUCUUCCUACAGUUGCUGACAUUUGACAAAGAAAAAAAUAUAUUUAAAGCAAGUAUAAAUUUGAGAUAUUGUAAUGUAGUUCAUUAGAUAUUUUGAUGUUUAUAAUUAAUAGGCCGCUAGUUGGGAGGUUAUCCUUCCGUUUCUAGUUUCCCUACCCUCUAUGGUUGAUGAUGCGUUGAAGGCGGUGGCUACUAGUAUCAUCCAUGCCAUGGUUGAUCGGGUAGUGGAGGAAGACUCUCAAGCAACGGAGGAUGGCGAUGACGACUCCGAAAGAACAGACGAUUCUUCGCCUGACCCAUUAGCGGGGCUGUUUGUCUCCUCGAUUGCCAAGGCCACAAGGUACUAUAUUAGAGUGUUCUCAUUCUGUGAUCGAUCACCUGAAUGUAGACCAGUUAUUGGCACUGGAGCAGGGGCGUCAAACAGCUCGAGGUCGUGGCAUACGGGCCAAUUUUCCUUCAGAUAGAGAGCUCAGGUCGAUGAAACAUAACUCUCAAAUUCUUUUCAUGCUUUAUCUAAUGAUUAGUGCACUUUUUUGGAAUAUUCGGGGGAUUUCUAGAUCUCCAAAUUUACGAAAGCUCAAAAAAUUAAUUUUGUUACACAAGUUGUCAGUGGUUGGGAUCUGUGAGCCUAAAUUCUCGACAAGAGACAUGGAAUCAAUUCGUGUGCGUUUGAAUUUUGAUCAUGUGAUUUCUAACCCGUCAGGGGAUCUUUGAAUUUUCUUUAGAUUUUCUUUUACCUCCAUGGUUGUUGGGGAGUCUGACCAACACUUGUCUAUCUCAUUUUUUCAUCCCCAUCGAUCCUGUCCUUUUAUUGUUUCCUUUGUUCAUGCUAAACGUACUGCUGCAGAAAGGAGAAGGCUUUGGCCUACUUUGCUUCGCGACAAGCCUUGUCACGAGCCAUGGUAUAUUGUGAGGGAUUUUAACCUUAUUUUAUCUCCAAAUGAGAAGAAGGGAGGUCGGCCGUUUCAACCAUCUCAGGGCUUGGAGUUUUCCCAAUUCAUGGGAGAAGCUGGUAUGCUUGAUGCAGGGUUCUCUGGGUCCAGUUUCACUUGGUGUAAUAAUAGACAUAGGCGAGCAAGAAUCUGGAAGUACCUAGAUCGGGUAUUACUUAACAAUGCAUGUUUAAACGAUUCGACCUCGAUGGUUGUCUCCCACUUGGUGUGGGAGCCCUCUGACAAUGGCCCACUUCUCCUUUCCUUCUCUACCAGGUUGGACAAUAAGUCUCGCACUUUUAGAUUCCUUAACGUGUGGACAUCUAAGAAUAGUCUAUUGGAUGUAGUGAAGAUGACUUGGAUAGGUGAUGUCAGUGGCUCUCCGUUGUUUAUCGUGUAUGAACCAAACUGAAGAGAGUCUCUCAUGCUAUUCAGAAACGGAAUAAGGAGACAUUUGGAGAUGUUUUUCUCAACGUGAAGAGGGCCAAGGCAGCGGUGGCCCGGCUAAGCUUCAGAUUGAGGUAGAUAGCUCGGAGAAGAAUUUUGUUGAGUUGAAACGGGUACAAGCUGAAUUGCGGAGGGUCCUGACUGUAGAGGAACAAUUCUGGAAACAAAAAGCCAAGGUUAAGUGGCUCCAGCACGGGGAUAAUAAUUCUAGAUUUUUCCAUUCAGUGGUGAAACAGUGAAGAUAUCGGGCAGCAAUUCACAGCAUUCGAGACUCCCAGGGCACUUGGAUUACUGAUGAUGGCACAAUCGGGAUGGAAGCCGUGAAGUUUUUUGAUGAUUUAUUAUCGGUGGAGUCUUCUUCAGACUUUAGACUGGUCCAUGUUAUUCCCAACUUGAGUUCCGAAAUUGAUAAUAGAUGUCUGGAAGAGGCCUCUUCUUUCGACGAGGUUACGAGGGUAGUCUUCUCUAUGGAUGGUGAUAGUGCAGCAGGCCCAGAUGGCUUCACUGGAAAGUUCUUUACCUUUGCUUGGGAGGUGGUCGGUCCUAAUAUCUUUCAAGCGAUUCUCAUUUUCUUUUGUAGAGUUGAACUUUCUUGAUUUGUCACAGUUACCUCAAUUUUUCUCAUUCCAAAGGUCCUAAAUCCGCAUUCCUUCUCUCAAUUUCGUCCUAUCAGUGUAUGUAACUUUUUGAAUAAAGUCAUCUCUCGAGUUUUGGUCAGCCGAUUAAGUCCAAUUUUGCCUCGGAUUAUUUCUCCUCAGCAAAGUGGUUUUGUUCAGGGUCGGGCUCUGUCGAACAACUUUCUCCUGGUUCAAGAGAUGAUUACAGAUAUUGAAAAAAAAUGUAUGGGACGGAAUGUAGUGCUUAAACUGGACAUGGCGAAGGCGUAUGAUAGGAUGUCAUGGGUAUUUAUUAUUAGAGUGUUGCGCCACUUUGGAUUUGGGGAAAGGUUUAUCGAUAUGGUGUGGCGGUUGUUGUCAAAUGUCUGGUUCUCAGUGCUUGUUAAUGGAGUUCCGUACGGCUUCUUCAAGUCUAGCCGGGGCCCUUUGACAGGGUGAUCCCUGUCGCCGGCCUUAUUUAUUAUUGGAGCUGAGGUUUGUCCAGAGGGUUGAAUUUAUUAUAUUCCCAAUCGAAAUUUUGUGGGUUAUAACGUGCCAAGACACUAUCCUACCAUCUCUCAUUUGGCCUUUGCAGAUGACAUAAUAAUCUUUGCCAAUGGGUCGGCCUCUUCGUUAACGAAAAUUAUACGAGUGUUAGAGCUAUAUCAAAAGGUAUCGGGUCAAUUGGUGAACACUAGUAAGAGUGGGUUCCUGCUUCAUCCAAGUGUCCCAAUGGCUCGUCAAGGUAUCAUCGAACGAGUUACUAAAUUUCGAGAAGAGGUUCCCCAUUCGAUAUUUGGGACUUCCAUUGUAUACCGGCAGGUGCAAGGGAUUUUAUUUUCGGAUUUGAGCCAGCGAAUGGUUGAUAAAGUCCUCUCCUGGAAGACUCGGCUCUUGUCAUCGGGUGAGAAGAUCAUUUUGAUUAAGCACGUGCUUUCAAGUAUUCCCGUCCACCUCUUGGCUGCAGGGGUCAUUCCAAAAAGUAUAUUUCAUAUGAUUGAGCGGGUAUAUGCAAAUUUCUUGUGGGGGAUGACUAAAGAGUCUAGAAGGUUUCAUUGGGUGUGGUGGAGAGACUUAUGCUUCCCACCAGAGGAGGGUGGCGUUGGAUUUCGGUCGAUUGAGGACACUUAUAGAACUUUCUCCUGCAAGUUGUGGUGGACCUUUAGGCAGAAUCUCUCACUGUGGGCUAUGUUCAUGCGAGCCAAAUAUUGUCAUGAUACUCACUCUUGUCAGGUUGCCCUGAGAUCUCCUAGUUCAGCAAUAUGGCGCCGCAUGUUGGACGUUAGGGGAUUUGUGGAGUUAUUUAUACUUUGGAAACCUUAUAGUGAUUUUUGCCACUUUUGGUAUGACAACUGGACGGGGUCAGGUGCAUUAUAUCUUCGAGUGGAUGUGCAGGAUCAUUUGUCCUUCCAUGACUUUAUUGUGUGCGGGACAUGGAAUAGCCGCUUGUUGUCUCAUGUCCUUCAGUCUGAUUUAGUCCAGACUAUGGUAGGCAUGCCGAUCCCCUGUAUUUCUUCAGUGCACAGGAUGGUAUGGACGGCGUCAUCUUCUGGAAGUUUCUCAUUAUCCUCGGCUCUCCAAGAGGUGCGACAGGCUAAACCCUCAUCCUUCAUGUUCAGUCAGGUUUUGCAUCCGCACAUCCUUCUAAAAAUUUUCUUCUUCAUGAUGCGUUUGUUGCGGGGACGGUUGCUUUUGGAUGAUAUUUUAACCAGAUAUUGUGUUCACUUACCGUCUAAAUGCUUUUGCUGUUUGAAGCCUAGUGUUGAAAUGCUAUAGCACGUAUUCAUGUCGGGUGAUGUCGUAAAGGCAGUUUGAAAGUUUUUUGGGCCUCUCGGAUCUCUCUCUAGUCUUAACUUGGCGCGGGAGCAUUUAACGGUACAGUUGGAAAAUUGGUAGUACAAGCCUACUAAGUCUGCGAGGAUAAAAUUUGUCUUUCGGCUCCUACCCGUAUUUGUGUGUUGGAAUUUGUGGAAAACGAGGAAUUCAGCAGUGUCUGAAAGGGUUAUCAAGAAUGUCCGAUCUAUUUGUGGAGCUAUUUUUCAAAACUUGAAAGACGCAUACUGGAUGAAAUUUGGGGAAUUACAACAGGUCGCAUCUUGGCCCCAAUUCUUGGGUUUGGUGGAGCAAUGCCCUGAUGUGGUUAAGUUUCGUCUAGUUCAUUGGCAGGCUCCACGGCUGUCAAUGUUUAAAUUUAACAUAGAUGGGUGCUCCAAAGGUAACCCGGGAUUGAGUGGUAGUGGGGGGAUUCUUAGGGAUGGCUCAGGGAAGUUCAUCUUCGCUUUCGCUAGUUGCUUUGAUGUUGCUACUAGCUUGUAGGCCGAGGCUAAAGCAUUAGCGUUUGGACUGAGUUUAUGUGCCCAAAGAAAUUUUUUACAGCAGUUGGUGGUUGAGUCGGAUUCGCUAGUGCUAAUAAAGAUUCUGAGGAACGAUUACCAAUGCCCAUGGACGAUUAGUUAUGAGAUCGAGCAGUAUUACGAGUUCUCUCAGGGGAGUAUACAGUUCAACCAUUGCUAUCGCAAGACCAAUAAGGUUGCGGAUGUUCUUGCCAAUGUGGGGUGUGCCUUGGUUGAAUCGGUAUGUAUUUAUGAACAUUUCAAGGACUUACCAGGUGUAGCUAGGGAUGAAUAUCGCUUGGAUAAAUUAUCCUACCCGUCUAUUCGGCGACGUCGAGUUAAGUAAGUAAGUGUCUUGUACUUGUCUUGUAUCGUUGAAGUCAGGCUUCUGUCCCCCUCAAGAACUGUUCUGAGGCAAUAAAAUCCAAGCAUGUUGGUUUUUUUUUUUUUAUUUAAAAAAAGGUUCUUCCAUAGCUGUUAAACUCGACUUGGUAAGGAAAGAACUGAGUAAUGGGUCAUUGGCACAAUUAGUGGAUAAUUGAAUUGAUGGGUCAUUAAAAUAGAAUUUAUAGAUGAAGUGUUUUUAAAUAUUAAUUAUUACAUUUAGAAAAAUAUAUAUGAAUAUAUAAACAUUAAUAAUAGAUCCAGUUCCUUUAUAUCGUACUUUACAAAUAUAGAUCGUGUAAUUAAAAUAAAUUAUGGUAUUUAGUAAAACAACAAGCUUUUAAGGGAAAAAUAUUUUAAGGAAAUAGAAUGCAAUUUUUAUUAAUAUGUUACCUGAAGAAUAUUUCUAUAAUUAUCAACUAUUGUUACAUAAUAAUAAUACUUUAUGUUUGAAAGUUGAAUUAAUUAGACAAAAAAAAUUUUUGAAGGGACAUUUAGUAAAUGAAUGUCAGCUUAGCCUAAUGUUAAAAUCUUUAUACAAUAAGCGGAGAGAUCCAAGGUUCAAACUCACGGGUUGCUAGUUGAACCAAUCAAAUUAGGAAUCCAAUUUGUCCUAGUAGUCGGUUCACCGGGUCAAAAUGGUUUAACCGUCAAGUUGAAUCGAAUUCAAUAACUAUUAAUUUUUCUAUUAAGUGUAAAAGUAAGAGAUUGGUCUAGUGUCUAAUUGGGGACAGGAUUAAGUUAGAUAGUUAGGUGGGAAGGGUUAUAAGUAAAAAGUUUUUGAUUCAAAUCUUUUCACUUACCAAAAAAAAAAAUCUAGUGUCUUGUUAUCUGCAAAAGUUCAUAUUUUGUAAGUGAAAGUAUAUGCAAUUCAGGAGGCAAAUCUUGGUUCAAGUCUACCCUUUAUUUUGUAUACUCAUCUAGCGUCUUUAGGCCAUAACAUAGGUAAAUAGUAGGAAAAUUCUAUGUCCGUUCUCCUUAUUUUUGCAUGAUGAUAAUGAUUUAUACCUUAUGUAUUUGGAUUAUUACAAUCCAAUGGUCUAAAACACUAAUUUUAUCACCCAACGGUAAAUUUAAUUUGAGGAUAUGAUCUCCCAAAACCAUAAUUCAUAACUAUCUAUAUACCUAUUCACCAGUUGAGAUAUUCUAAAAAGCUUUUGAUAUUCAGACAUGUGUCAUUUCGUUAGGUUAUUUAACUAUUUUAUUAUUUAAUAAAUUUAAUUGAUGACAUCCAAUGAUUAUUUUGUUAAUUAAAUUCAAAUAUUUAACUCUGGACAUGCCACUGGAUAUAAAUUUAAAUGUCUAAAAAAUCCUUAUUUUAUUCUAAAAUUUUAAAUUACUUUUCAUCGUUUUGUAAUUCCAAUGCAUAGCAUAGGCAACAAAACUAGUUAUAUACUAUUCAAUAGCUAAAAACUUCUAGAAUCUUUUCUUACUAAUUUUCAAGAGUUUACAAUUAUUUUUAAUUCUCCAAAUUUUUAUUGUACAAUAUAUAAUACACACCAUAUCAUUUAUGUCUUCAAAUAAGAAAGAAUUCUACAACAUCCAUAACAGUUUCAAAUUUCAAAGGCUUCUAUCACAUCCACACCACUUUAACAUUAAAAAAAAGGUAAAAGUCUAUCCAAAAUCUUUACAAUUACAAACAAAUAAUAAUCAAUCACCGAAUUACAAGUAAUGAUAAAGAUCUUAGAUAGUUUUUCUGUGCUUGAUAAUAACAAUAUUAAAUACUCUAUCUUAAAAUGUAAAUCAUUUUUAACUAUUUGUAGUUCUCGUGCAUAGUAUGGGAAAUAAAGCUAGAUAAUAAUAACGAUAAUAUAGCUCAUGAGAAAACUAAUUCAUUUUUUUUCUUUUGAUGAAAAAUUAACAUUUAUUUAGGCAUAUUUAAAAGAUCAGCCCUAAUGCUAGGCUGAAAAAAUGUUGAAGCAUUGAACUCCCAUACAUUUUGAGAAUCAAUCAAUUUCUCAUGCCUUGCUAGAGAACAAGCGACUCCAUUGUCAUAUCUACCCACCUACUCUAGACUAAACUGAUUUAUGUUUAUUGAGGGACUGUUGAACAUCCUCUAACAUAGACCCUGACACAAAGAAAUUUUCUGAAUAAUUCUUAGCAGCUUAAAACAUUAAUUGCAACCCCUCUUAGAUGAGCCAUGUCCACAGCUUUAUUUAAAGCUAGAUAGUUUCUGCAACUUCAGGAUGAUUAAUACCAAUAAACAACUUGGAAGACAAUGCAAGAAUCUGCCUUCAUGGUCUCAUGCAACAAUUAAACUUUUGGGCAAAAUACAUUUUACUCCUGUGGUUUAACGCUUUUUCACAUAAUUCUCUCAUAAUUUGAAUUAAAGUGUCAAAAUGAUGAAAUUUAUAUUCCAUAACGGAGUCAACUAAAACGUCAAAACCCCUAUGUCAAGCUGAAAAUUAGUUAGGGGUUAUGUAUCUAUUUUGAAAACCAUAAGAGGGUUAUGUGGUAAAAUACUAAAUCAUAAGGGGUUAUAUGGUAAAAUAUAAAGUUAUAUGGGAUUAGAGUGUCAUAUAUAUUAUAUUUAUAUAUUUUGGUUACUUCAGUUAUUUUAGUUUUUAAAAAAUGGUAAUUUCGAUAUUUUCAUGGGUUCCACUACAAAUGAUCAUUUUCAUCAUUUUGACACUUUAAUCUAAACUGUGAGGGGUUAUAUAUAACUUUUAAAAUUAUAAGGGGUUAUGUGAAAAACGUUAAGUCACAGGGGGUAAAGUGUAUUUUGCCCUAAACUUUUCAGUAGUCAUAGAGAAUACAUCUGAGUGAAAAUUAAGUGAAAUCAAAAUGUACAUCAUUCAAUGAUUGUUAGGAACAAGUUUAGUCUCAAGGCUGUCAAUAUCAAAAAGUUAAAUUGAUUACAUGGGGUUUCUGACUUUCCGGAACCUAUUUGAAAACCGCUAUGAAGUUGAAGCAUUUAACCACUUACUUUCUUCACCAGUAUCAAAUUUUUCCCUAAAAAAUUUCAAGUUUAUUUCAUAUAUUUGGAGAAUAAAGGGGAUUCUUGUUUGUACAAAUGGUAACUAUUCAUUUAGCCACUUUUUAAUGAGGAGGAGGUGUUUGAUAAAGUAAAGGAAUAAAGAAAAAGGAGCCAUAAAUCGUUGUAAAUUAUGAUACGUACUAUCUAGACAGCUGAUCAACGCUGACUACUGAAAUAGCUUCUUUCAACAGGAACAGAGGCCACAAGAACUGGUCAAUUCUAAGUUGGAGGAGACAUUUGGUAUAAUGGAUCCUAAAUUUUUUACAUGCACUCAGACCCCAUUAAUGGUUGAGCACCGUUCGGUCUGUACAAUCUAUUGCGAUGUAUACAUGAACAUAUCUGAGCCAUUGAAAUGAUCUAGUGUGAGCUAAUUAGUUUACUCAUGUUGAAGGAUUGAGAAAUCCCAAUAUUAGAGGUUAAUUGGUUGCAUAUGUUACUGAAACACAGGCAGCAAAACUCAAGAAUUUGUUCUUAUUGACCUCAUCAGAGAUUACAUCAAGUAAACCUCCAUGAACAAUUGUCAUCUUAUUCAAAAUACAAUUUAGUGAUCCAGAAGAUACACAAGUCUGUAACUAUAUACCCAUAUAUAGCAAACUCAUCAAGAUGGGGUAUUUUUUAUUGCCAUUGUUGGUCCACUCUGAACAAUCAAAACUCAUUCAUCCUUUAUGAUAUGAAAAACAUGUAUAGAAAUGCAGCAAUUGAUGCCAUUGGAAAGACAGAAUCCGACUCUUCACCACUCUCACACUUCCCUAAUCGUCACAUCAUGGAUUUUGAGGCCUCCUUUCCACUUCCCACUCCAAACUUCAUACAAGCCAAAGUACAGUUUUCUAUCUGUCGAGCCUUGGUUUUCCCUACCAUUCUGAACGACUUCCCUGUUAAGUGAAUUCGAUUUAUGCCAUCACAGUUUGUCAAGUAAACCUUUUUCCAAUCAAAUUUUCCAAAUUUGCCUCUCUUCACCAUAAUGUAGAUAGGAUAACUACCCCAUCCAAAUGCAUCUGGAGUUAGAGACACCCUGAAGCUCACAUCAUAUGUCUUUUGAGGAUCAGCAUCCACAGAACCAGCUACUUCAAGCCAAGAUACCUGCAGCAGUUCUGCAGGCUUGCCAUCGCUACAAAGAAAGUCCAAUGUCAGGGAGAAAUUCUAGUCACCCAAGAACACUGGCCAUUAUGCUGCCUGGAAAAAUAUUAAUGUUUAGGUAUUUUUGUUUUUCUUUUACGUAAUACUACUUAGGUAAGUUUAGUCUCCAGGGCAGACUCAAUUCUAGACGAUGUAAAAUAUAUACUUGUCAUGAUGAUGUACAAAGAUUGAUGAUAAAUAAUGUGUGAUGCACGAUGUAAAAAAAAAAAAGCCUUAUGAUUAACUCAAGAAACUAUAAACUAAUAAAGCCUAAGGAAGUAUAAACUACUCCAUAAACUAUAUAAAGCCUAAGGAACUACAAACUGAAGCUGCGAUGUAUGAUUAACAUCUUAGGAGAAACUUUACUCCUUCACAUAUAUGGAAAAUCUUGAAUGGUAAUAAAUAGUUCUUUACCAAUAUUCAAAUCACAGGUAAAAAGAAAAUAUUGGCUAAAAAUUUGUUAGGUACUCACUCCCUUGGACCUGGUACGUUCCAAUAGCGGUCAUCAUUCCCCCAAACAAUGUUGAGAGCUCUAGGUUUAACAAUGAUCACAUCGCGCCCGUUCUCCUGCCCACAUGAAAUUCUCUUGUUAUAGCCCUUAUUGGUGCGAUUAAAUAUAAUCUCUCGUAUGAAAAUUUAUCUUGUUGAAAGAAAAGACAAAUCAGUUUCAAUUCGAAGUUUCCACUUUAAAAAUAGAUAGUAAUAUGAAUUGAUUUUUCUCAGAAAAAACAAGUGAAAGCAAAGCAAUUUCAUCCUAGUCCUCCGAUUAACAUAACUAAAUACCUCAUCUAUUUCUUUGAUCAUAUGCACGUAUCAUCAUUAGUUCGUAAAAUUCCAUGAAAAGAAGAUGAAAUGUACUUUUAGGAUAUCCCCAUGAACGCAUACAAAUAUGUCAGCCAAGAAGAAGAAGAGGAAGAAUAUGAUGAACGAUUGACAAAUCCUCGUACCUUGGUGCGACGAGAAGCUUUAGGAUCUGCUUCAUAAUGAGGAUUACUUGAGGACAUUUUGAAUCAAAUAGAAUCUUAAAAACCUUGACAAAGAAUGAAUUGGUUUGAGCCUCUCUUAUCGGCCUCAUCUUAUUUAUAUCACAAAGGAAAAGUGGAAAACGAAUAUAUAAGAGAAUCUAAAGCUUUAUGCAUGCUUGAGUAUAGAAGAUAAAUGACAGCUUCACUCAGCCAAAAGAUUGAUAAUAACGCCCAAAGGAAUCAAGCAAAUGAGCUGGUAAACCACAAUAAAGAAAGUAGCUGACUUUGCCCCACGUAGGCCAAUAAAGUUUUAUUCUCUAAACACGUAAAGAAUAAUAUGAGCUCGAGGCAGGGUGUAAAUGCCAUGAAUUUUUCUCCUUAGAAUUUGUUUAUCUAGGAUUUGAGUGCAUUACAAUUCAUUUCAUAGCAAUCGCACUAAAUUCAAUGCACAUAUCUGGAUUUGAAAUUUCGUGAUCUCUGUAAGAAUAAACUCAUUGGGUUAUGAAUCCUUGCGACAAGAAUAAAAAAAAGGAAAAGAAAAACUUUUACAAGAACUCAUUCAACAACAAUAUGGAAUGAAGAAUGUGGGUUAUAAAAAACUGUGAAUUAAAAUCUGACUAUUUUUUUUUUCUAACAAUAACAAUUGCAUGGGUCAUGCACAAAGCUUACAAAGCUGGAGCAUAUGCUCCUACGUCUUUCCUAGCUAAACUAGUCAGCCAUACAGGAAACUAUUCCUGCCACACAAAAUCAUUCCUCUGGUUAAUGGCAAACUUUGCCAAGUGGUGAGCUACAAAGUUACCUUCUCUUUGGAUAAAGGAGAAGGAACAUUCCGUAAAAUCUUGUCUGAGCUUCAGGAUAUCAAAGAUAACGACUCCAGUCUUUGGAUCAUCUGCCAUUCUCGCAUUAAUCUUAUCAACUAUUCCUUUGCAGUCAGAUUGUACCAGAACCUUCCUCCAACCCCGUUCCUUUGCCAUAUGCAAGGCCUGCCUGAUAGCCAAAGCUUCCUCCACUGCUGGUUCCCCAAGUUUGUCAUCACUGGCUGCCCAUGCACCCAUCAUACUAAUUGCAAGUUUUUAGUUAAUCCAAUAUAUAUUGUUAGUGGUUGUAGUUGUAAUCACGGAAACGUAGAACUAUGCCAUCAAACAAGAUUAAGCACCAGUUCAUUGUAAUGAUCAACAAAACUUCAUAUUUGCAACAUAUACAGAAGGGAGAUAUAGCGAUCAGUUAGAACACAAUUUUGAAAUUUCUUGUACUUUUCAAAUCUGUUCAUAAUUUUACAGAUCUAUUUUAUUUGUUAUAUUACAGAUCUGUAAUUUUUAUUGCAUAUUUAACCUAUUAUUAGGGCAGUGAUAUAGAUCAAAUCAUACUGGACGAUUUUUAGCAACUUGUUAAUGAAAUUUGCUUUUUAUAUAUAAAAAAAGCUUCAUUUUGUUAAUUAAACGAGGAAGGGAAAAAAAAGAAAUAAAGUAGAACGAAUUCUCAGCAUUUGGGACAAAUCAGUUUUCUAAAACCAAAAUACUGAUAAAUUGAAAGGCUAUAAUUCCUGCAAGGCCCGGACAUGCAAAUAAGUCCAAAAUAAUCCUUUCGAAAAGCAUCAGUAGCCCCAUGAUAAUCUCUUCAAAUCAACCUUAAAGUUGCCCACGAGAGAACUUGGUGGUUGAUGUCUAAUGUUCCUACAUAUGAUAUGACGAGGCAUUCACAAUUUUCUUAGACAUAAUUUCAUUGGUGAAAAAAUAAUUUGUCAGUAAAUCAAGAAGAACCGUCUAUAUAUAUAUAUAUAUAUAUAUCUGUCUGAAAAUAUGAGUGAUUCUUUAAACUAUACAAUGAAUUGCAGCCAUAAUAUUACAACUAAUAUGAAAUGAGCAUAUCCAAAUCUCAUCCCUGUACUUAGGUAUCAAAAUGUUCAAAGGCCUCUUUUAUCUUAUAACACGGUGGAAUCACCAUUUUGAUCAAACUUCCUGCAAUAACCAUGCAUCGCUAGCCUAAAAUAUAUACUAGUUUGAGUGCCUUCAAUUGUUGCUGAUCAUUAUUCGAUCACAGAUUUGACACCAAAAUAUACAAUAACGCACACGACAUGUGGAACAAACUUUGCUUAUUGCAUCCCUAUAUCCAAACGAUUUGAUUCCAAUGCACUUUGUUUCUUUUAAUUUUCAACGUCCAUCACUCUUGAGAAGAAAAAAGCGUAAUUAUUCUUGAAGCAAAAAGGCUUUCAUAACCUUAACGGUGUCAUAUUCUGGCCAAAAGCUUUGUGGAAUUUGUUAAACAAAACCAUAAAAGCCCUACGGAGGCCAAGUGUCAAAUAGCCUACAUUUAUAUCAUGUUAAAUCAUCAAGUCCUCUAUUGUCAGAUCAAGUAGAAUUCAUUUACUAUUGCAAACACUGAUAAGAACGUCCACCGAUUUUCUAGUCAUAUAUUAACAUAUCAACAAUGUACACACAAUAGGAUGCUAACUGAAAUUUUGAUCUAGAAUAUUAGCCUGUUCUGAUGAUGUAAGAAGUUAAUUAACAAAAUAACCAAGCUAGCAUAAAGAUUUUUUUUUCUUUCUUUUUUUUUUGCGGGUACAGGUGAAUAAUUUACUAGUCUAAUAUGAGCAUUAUGUGAUUUGUUAUAUCCCGUGGACACUGGAAAAGGAAAAUGUAAAAAAAAAUAAUAAUCAAAACGUAAAGAAAUUGUGGGUCAAAUUUUCAAAAAGUUAACGAGUUAUGUACAAAAACAAAAAAAAAAGUUAUCUCUCAAUUAUUCCCUGUCAGUCAUAUUCUCCUGAUGUUUGAUGUAUGUAGCAAAAGAAAACUACGGAAAGUAGCACUUAGUUUAGCACCUGGUAAUCGAAAAUAUUGUUGUCUAUCAACUCUAUUUGACACCCCCUCAAUAUUCUUGAAGCAAAAACUUUUAAAAAUGCCCACAAUCUUAGACCAAUGAGGGCGGCGUUGAAAGCAAAUGGGAAUGUGUAAAGCAACUUGAACUUGAACAGCACUGCCACAAACAGUCGAAUAAGCCGUACUCGUAUUAGAUUAAUCUUUCCGUCCACAUCGCUUGUGUGGGUUCUUCAAUCGGAACUUAAGUUAUAUGGGGGUCUCAUCCUGUCACCAAUUGAUUGGACGUGGAUUCUUUGUGAGUCCUGCUUAGGUUUAAUAGACGUAACUUUUGAGUGUUUCUAAUCUAAUUGUAUGUGUGUGUGAGAGUUUUGUCCGUUUCAGAAAAAGUAUUAGAUUAAUCUAAUACCCCAGCCUACUUUAAAAAAUUGGAAAGGUUGGCUGAAGAUUAAUUUACUAAGCCUUAAUUUUGGAUAUUUAUAAGAUAUUAAUCCUACAAAAGACUUGUUGCAUGAAACUAUUGGGAUCGUGCUUUAUAUAUAUAUAUACACACACAAAAAAAAGGUAACAGUAGUAUUUUUCAAAUUGAAACACAUUCUAGAACAUAUAAAUUCUCAAGCUUUCUAGACGAAAUAAACAAAUGAUAUAGAAACUAAAGAGCCCAAAUACAGCCCACCCCCUUACUUUGCAUCAGAUAAGGCAUUAUAUUCUGCAUGGUGAGUUUUUGUUGUGCUGCAACAAAGUGAAACGAACGUCUGACAUAUUGGAUGACAUUUGAUUUCACUUGGCAACUUGAAGAAGCUGCUACAAUGUAUUUUGAACUUGCCCACACAAAGAGAAUAAAACAGUACUUAAAAGGGACCAAUCUUUCUGGUUCUACUUUCGGCAAACCCUAAAAGGAUGAAGGUAUGUACUCCACAACUGUCAAUGAUAAUUUCACCAUGCAAUGCAGAUGUUAAAGUAACAAAUGUGGAAGCUAAAAUAAUUUUUUUCAAGAAGCGAGAAAAUUUAUUAGGAUAUUUUUGUAUAUUAAUGUGUUAAUGUCUGUAUUUAUUAUUUUUAGUGUUUACGUUUGUUCUUCUUGUAUCUAUAUUGCAAGGUGCAAUUCUUGCUAGCAAUUGUAGAGCCCUUCAUCCAACUUCAAAUUAAGAUUCUGGACUGCUAUUGUCAGUGCCUGGAGUUAUAUAUCUAAUCCUACAAGUUACAAGUUGGCAGAAUUUGCCUCUCACUGCUCUCUUUUCCUUUUGCAAUCUGUAUUCUAUGUCCUCUAAAGGCACUUUACAAGCUUUUAUGCAUAUCAAAAGGUUAAAGGUUUCCGCAAGCUACACGUAAGGAUUCUGAAAACUGUCAUUGCCGGGGCAUCCUAAUCUUACAAAUUGGCAGGAUCAGAAACCUAGACAAUUGCAGGAUUUGCAAGAUCAGGAACAUCCCCUGAGGUUUUUAACAAUUACAGAAAGCUUCCCAUAGGUUUUGAAAAUUAUAUAUACCUCUCCUAUAUUGUUUAUGUAACAGUAUAAGUCCAACAACUUAGAUUUUCUCCCAAAAUCCUAAAUUGUUUUUUUUUUUGUACAAAACUGAAAAAAAAAAGUAUCAUACUCAAUCACUUUCUUCUAUAUUUUAAUUCUUAACAACUAUUCAAGUACAAACUCAAGUUCUAAAUGUGAGUACACUACAACAAAAAUGGCCUUUAACGGCAUUUAAAGGUGUCAGUAUAGAUAAUCUAACCUGACACUUUAUCUAUCCUCACACCUAGGGCGAGUGUUGUCCCUUCCAAUGUGGGGAUAGCCUCAAAUCUUUAGCAGCAUUCAAAUGUGUCAGGAAUACCAUGCUGCUAUAGCAUUCCCUCUGCCAACAAAAACUUUUUUUGUGAUAAUCGAAAGUGUCAGUAUAGCAUUAGAACAUCAGUAGCAGAUCAGUAGGAUAUCCAAUUUAUGAAGGCAUCUUGAGUUGUCUUAAUAUAUGGCUUUAAGGACACGUAGCCAUGUGAAUUUACACUGCUUUGGACGACACGCCCAUUUGUCAUUAGUGUUUUUCGAAGCUAAGCUAUGCUGACACUUUUAAUUGCCAGGAGUUUUUUCCCUGUUUUUUUUUUAUAUGGAAGCAACCUGCAAUUAGUCCUCCCUGCUGUACAUUCCAUCAACCAGAAUCCCAAGGGACUUGUAAAAUUAUCCCAAAGAGCAGAAUGCAUAUAGCAAUUUAAAAGAAGAAGUCGAUACUCAAAUAUAAUUCAUUAAAUUAAAAGUCGGUAACAAGUACAAACGUAGCAAAUAUUAAAAUCCCAAACAAGUACUAAAACAUUCUCAUGUACACAAACUUGAAAUACUUUCUUGUGCACAAACUAAAAGAUUCUCAUCCCUAACAAGUUGAAAGAACUAACAGUAGCUUCCAAACUUUACAAUGAAAUGAGAGCUUUCAGUCAUAACCACGAAGUC